UAAUAUUGUAGUGAUCUAUCCAUCCAUGUCUUUGUUUGCAAUUAUGGAGCACCCUAGCUUGAGUCAAUCGAGCUCUACUUUUGUCAUUUCGUGAAUCUGGGCAGAUUGUCUACUUGUUAGCGAUUUUGCCGAUGUUGUUGUAGUUGAUCCGUGCAUGCUAUGCUAUUGUUCUUGCCAUUUCUAGCUUGCAUUUUGUGUAUUCUUGAUGGGUGUAUGCUUAGCUUGUCAUGACUUGCUCUGUAGUGAGUGCAUCGAGCUCGUAAACAUGCCUACUUGAUAUCUGUUUUCAGCAUGCUCUAGUUUUCACAGUCUGAGAACUGAUUAUGUUUUUGCCAUGUUCACAUGCUUGCAAUUGUAUUUUCUGAUCCCUUUUGGCUCAAGGUCACUAAGGGACUUUUGUUAAGCUCUUUGAGUAGCUCCAUGAAAUGCUUUACUUUGCCAUGUUCAGGUCCUGUAGCAUAUUGUUUUCAUGCUCCAAAGAGUGCUAUCUGAUCUGAAAUUCCAGACAAGUGUUAAUUUCACUAAGUCUGAAAUCUGUUUGUCAAAUGCAUUUUUGCCAUGCUUGUUUGAACCUGUUAAUGGAUGAAUUGGCCGUAGCUCAGUGCUAGACUUUUGUUAAGCAUCAUGAAUGGAUUCCUGCCAUGUAUUUUGAUGCCAUGUUUGGGUGCUGUAGCAUGUUCAUCUUGUUGCAUUUAGAUGGCUACUUGCUGUAAAUCGCAGAACGUGGUCAUAUUUGAAUCGCUUGCCAUUUCCAAACCGUAACUCCGUUUCUGGCGUUCUUUAUAUCGUUUUCAAGCGAUUUCAUCUCAUCUUUCCAGUGGCACACUUGGAUUUCCAAGUUGGGGCCUGGUUCAUGCACUCCUUGUCAAAUCUUGCAUAUGCAUCCCGCAUUGCAUCCCGCAUAGCAUAUCAUCCUUGCAUCAUAUUGUUUGAGCUUUGCACGUGGUUGAUUGUGUUCCGUUUGCUUGUUUGUCUUGUUUGGGUAGAGCCGGGAGACGAGUUCACUAAUGAGGAGCCCGUUGAGUUUGCUUUCGAGGAUCCAGUCAACUCUGACAACUUUGCAGGCAAGAUGAUCAUACCCUCGAAAUCACUACUAUCUUUGCUUUGCUAGAUGCUCGCUCUUUCGCUAUGCCUAUGCUACGAUGCCUACCACUUUCUUUCAAGCCUACCAAAUUGCCAUGUCAAACCUCUAACCCACUAUGUCCUAGCAAACCGUUGAUUGGCUAUGUUACCGCUUUGCUCAGCCCCUCUUAUAGUGUUGCUAGUUGCAGGUGAAGAUUGGAGACCGUUCCUUGGUGGAACAUUAUUUACUUGUUGGGAUAUCAUUAUAUUAUCUUGUUAUCUUAAUGCAUAUAUAUACUUGGUAAAGGGUGGAAGGCUCUGCCUCUCACCUAGUGUUUUGUUCCACUCUUGCCGCCCUAGUUUCCGUCAUAUCGGUGUUAUGUUCCCGGAUUAACAAGCUAGUCAAGUAGAGGCAUACUAGUGACACUCUGUUUUGUCUAUGUAUUCACACAUGUAUUAUGUUUCCGGUUAAUACAAUUCUAGCAUGAAUAAUAAAUAUUUAUCAUGAAAUAAGGAAAUAAAUAAUGACUUUAUUAUUGCCUCUAGGGCAUAUUUCCUUCAAAUGCAUCUAUAUACUUGGUAAAGGGUGGAAGGCUCGGCCUCUCGCCUAGUGUUUUGUUCCACUCUUGCCACCCUAGUUUCUGUCAUAUCGGUGUUAUGUUCCCGGAUUUUGCAUUCCUUACGCGGUUGGGUUAUAAUGGGAACCCCUUGAUAGUUCGCCUUGAUUAAAGCUUUUCCAGCAAUGCCCAACCUUGGUUUUACCAUUUGCCACCUAGCCUCUUUUUCCCUUGGGUUUCCGGAGCCAGAGGGUCAUCUUAUUUUAAGCCCCCCGGGCCAGUGCUCCUCUGAGUGUUGGUCCAACCGAGUGAUGUCCGGGGCUACCAGGGGCAACUCUGGGCUGGCCUACCCGACGUCUUGCUCAUCCGGUGUGCCCUGAGAACGAGAUAUGUGCAGCUCCUAUCGGGAUUUGUCAGCGCAUCUGGGUGGUGUUGCUAGAUUUGUUUUAACUUGUCGAAGUGUCUUGAAGAACCGAGGUACUGAGUCUGAUCGGAACGUCUCGGGAGGAGGUCUAUUCCUUCGUUGACCGUGAGAGCUUGUCAGGGGCUAAGUUGGGACUCCCCUGCAGGGAUAUGAACUUUCGAAAGUCGUGCCCGCGGUUAUGGGCAGAUGGGAAUUUGUUAAUGUCCAGUUGUAGAUAACUUGAACCUUAAUUUAAUUAAAAUGAAUCAACAGUGUGAGUUACCGUGAUGGUCUCUUCUCGGCGGAGUACGGGAAGUGAACACGGUGUUGGUGUAAUGUUUGUUGGAGGUUGCCCUCUAGUUAUUCGUUCGCGCUUUGCCUCCUCUUCCCGCUCUCUUGUGCGAUCAGGAUAGCCACUAUAUAUGCUAGUCGCUUGCUGCAGCUCCACAUAUUUCCCUUGCCUUACCUAUAAGCUUAAAUAGUCUUGAUCACGAGGGUGAGAGAUUGCUGAGUCCCUGUGGCUCACAGAUUACUUCCAAACCAGAUGCAGGGCCUGAUGAUUCCACUCCAGGUGACGCGCUUGAGCUCAAGUGGGAGUUCGACGAGGACUCUCAACGAUACUACGUGUCUUUCCCUGAUGAUCAGUAGUGGUGCCCAGUUGGGGGUGAUCGGGACCGUGUCGCAUGUUGGGUUUAUCUUUCAUUUUGGCGCCAUAGUCGGGCCAUGAGUGUUUGGAUGUUGUAAUGCUAUUUAUGUACUUUGAUUGACGUGGCGAGUGUAAGCCAACUAUGUAUCUCCCCUUUAUUAUUUAUAUUACAUGGGAUGUUGUGAUGAUUGCCUAACUUGCGACAUUUCUUUCAAUGCGGUUAUGCCUCUAAGUCGUGCCUCGACACAUGGGAGAUAUAGCCGCAUCGAGGGCGUUACAAGUUGGUAAUCAUAGCCUUCCCCGACCUUAGGAGCCCCAUUGCUUGAUCGUUUUUAGCGGCCGAGUUGUGUCUAGAAAAAUGUUUUGAGUCAUUUAGGAAUUAUAUAUCAGAGAGUUUAGGAAUUCUUUUUUACUUCCCAGUCUCCUCAUCGCUCUGGUAAGGCAUCCUGGCGUAGAGUUUUGACUCUUCUAUUCUCAAAUUUCACUAAAAAAAUUUAGGAUCACGCGGGUAUCUUGGAAUCGUUCCGAUGGUUUUAUGACGAGAACAUUGUCUUGGUGCCUCCUGUCAGGGGUUUUGUGGAAGUGUCCCGGGGAGUUGAGCUCCGAGGUGUUGUCGUCAUAAUUUUAUCGUUGCAGUUAUGGAAUACCUGAGUUUAGUACGCCGACAUUGAAGAUCUCUUUUAUGCAGUUCGUUGGUGAGAUAACCUCGAUGCCACCCAGUACUGGGGCGGGAGUUUGGGAGUAUCGCCAUAACUUGUAUAACGGAUGCUUUUCGAAGGUUGAGGUAGAUGGUUUCCGAAGUUUUUCUCGGUUAUGUGUUGAAGGAUGGAUACAGCUGGAUGUAGGAUUUGCUAGAUUUGGUUGAGAUAUUAUGCUUCCCCUGUAUCCCCAACACCUGAUUGCAUAACCGGAAAGGUUCGGGAGUUUCAUAGGUGGGAAUUCUCGUAGCUCUAGUUCUUCUUCCACGGAUAUUUGGUUUGAGAUUGGGAUUUCUUACCGAGUAUUCGUUCUUGAUCCGUACCUUGUUGAUUUAUUUCUCUACCUGAAUUCUAAGUGGCUUCUCAAUUUAUGGAUAUGUGACCAUUUCAAGAGGAAUGCAUUCGUUCAUUUUGUUCGGAUGUGAAAGUUUUGAGAAUGUCAAAAGUAUGAAACAAUUGCUUGGCUUGUUAUCGGGGUUGUGCAUGAUUUAAAUAUUUGUGUGGUGAAGAUAGAGCAUAGCCAGACUAUAUGAUUUUGUAGGGAUAACUUUCUUUGGCCAUGUUAUUUUGAAGAGACAUAAUUGCUUAGUUAGUAUCCUUGAAGUAUUAUUAUUUCUAUGUCAAUAUUGAACUUUUGUCUUGAAUCUUUCGGAUUUGAAUAUUCAUACCACAAUUAAGAAGAAUUACAUUGAAAAUAUGCCAAGUAGCAUUCCACAUCAAAAAUCCUGUUUUUAUCAUUUACCUACUCGAGGACGAGCAGGAAUUAAGCUUGGGGAUGCUUGAUACAUCUCCAACGUAUCUAUAAUUUUUGAUUGCUCCAUGCUAUAUUAUCUACUGUUUUGGACAUUAUUGGGCUUUAUUAUACACUUUCAUAUUAUUUUUUGAGAAUUGCAGUUUUUUUGCCUAUUUUAGGGUUUCGAAGAAAAGGAAUAUCAAACGAAGUCCAAACGGAAUGAAACCUUCGGGAACGUGAUUUUUGGAACGAACAAGACCCAGGAGACUUGGACCCUAUGUCAAGCAACCAACAGGGAGGCCACGAGGUAGGGGGCGCCUACCCCCCCAGGCGCGCCCUCCACCCUUGUGGGCCCCCUGUUGCUCCACCGACGUACUUCUUCCUCCUAUAUAUACCUACGUACCCCCAAACGAUCAGAUACGGAGCCAAAAUCCUAAUUCCACCGUCGUAACUUUCUGUAUCCACGAGAUCACAUCUUGGGGCUUGUUCCGGAGCUCCGCCGGAGGGGGCAUCAAUCAUGAAGGGCUUCUACAUCAACACCAUAGCCUCUCCGAUGAAGUGUGAGUAGUUUACCUCUGACCUACGGGUCCAUAGUUAUUAGCUAGAUGGCUUCUUCUCUCUUUUUGGAUCUCAAUACAAAGUUCUCCCCCUCCCUUGUGGAGAUAUAUUCGAUGUAAUCUUCUUUUGUGGUGUGUUUGUUGAGACCGAUGAAUUGUGGGUUUAUGAUCAAGUUUACCUAUGAACAAUAUUUGAUUCUUCUCAGAAUUCUUUUAUGUAUGAUUGGUUAUCUUUGCAAGUCUAUUCGAAUUAUCAGUUUGGUUUGGCCUACUAGAUUGAUCUUUCUUGCAAUGGGAGAAGUGCUUAGCUUUGGGUUCAAUCUUGUGGUGUCCUUUCCCAGUGACAGUAGGGGCAGCAAGGCACGUAUUGUAUUGUUGCCAUCGAGGAUAACAAGAUGGGUUUUUUUUAUCAUAUUGCAUGAAUUUAUCCCUCUACAUCAUGUCAUCUUGCUUAAAGCGUUACUCUAUUAUCUUGAACUUAAUACUCUAGAUGCAGGCUGGAUAGUGGUCGAUGUGUGGAGUAAUAGUAGUCGAUGCAGGCAGGAGUCGGUCUACUUGUCUUGGACGUGAUGCCUAUAUACAUGAUCAUACCUAGAUAUUCUCAUAACUAUGUUCAAUUCUGUCAAUUGCUCAACAGUAAUUUGUUCACCCACCGUAAAAUACCUAUGCUCUUGAGAGAAGCCACUAGUGAAACCUAUGGCCCCCGGGUCUAUCUUCAUCAUAUUAAUCUUCCAAUACUUAGUUAUUUUCAUUGCUUUUAUUUUACUUAGCAUCUUUAUCAUAAAAAUACCAAAAAUAUUAUCUUAUCAUAUCUAUCAGAUCUCACUCUCGUAAGUGACUGUGUAGGGAUUGACAACCCCUUAUCGCGUUGGUUGCGAGGACUUACUUGUUUUGUGUAGGUGCGAGGGACUCGCGUGUAGCCUCCUACUGGAUUGAUACCUUGGUUCUCAAAAACUGAGGGAAAUACUUAUGCUACUUUGCUGCACCACCCUUUCCUCUUCAAGGGAAAACCAACAUAAGUGCUCAAGAGGUAGCAGUCGAUGUGGCUUGGCUCAACGCUGCCCGAACGGACACGUCAAACUGAAGCCAAACAGAGACCAGCUCCAGGCACCCAGCCGCCAGGAGGGGUUCGGCGCCCUGAAGAUCUUCUCUCAGCCGGGCCAUCUCAGAAAGGGCCCGCUCUAGGACGUCAGGAGAAGCAGAGGAACCUGGGGUCAGCAGCACGGCAGAAGGAGGAGGAAGGAGCGUCGUCAUCACCAUGGCCUGGGAGGCAGGAGGCUCGUGAGCCCAUGGGACCCCAGCACCUGAGCCUGACGUUGGUGACGGUGUCCUGGACUAGGGGGUACUCACCACGUAGUCUCCCGACCGGAUGGAUCGGGACGAGGACCCUCAUGGCGGUUCACUCAUGGGCCACUUCGGGCAGCCCAUGCCGCACAUGAGGAAGAUUCCACAAGACUUGAUGAUCAAGACAAGGACUCCUCUCCACCAACGUAUUUGACUAGGACUCUUCUUAUCCUAGGCCUCCGGUACAUUAUAUAAACCGAGGCUAGGCUAGUCGUUAGAUGAUUAUGACACAUGCCUCAUACCCUCAGGUUUUAGACCACAACAUAUGAUCUCGCGGUAGAUCAACUCUGUACUUGAUACUCCAUUAAUAUAAACAAGAGCAGGACGUAGGGUUUUACCUCCAUAAAGAGGGCCUGAACCUGGGUAAAACAUAAUUUCCUUCGUUCCUGUUGCCAUUGAUCCGAGAAUCCACAGCUCGAGACCCCCUACCCCAAGAUUUGCUGGUUUUGACACCUACAAUGGUGCUUUCAUUGAGAGUUCCGCUAUGAGAUCGACAAAGGAUCAAUGGCUCGCCUGCAAAUCAACUGCGCCAUCGGCAUCUUCGUUAUCGGCUCGACUUGUCACCUUGGCUUGACCAAGGACUGUGCCCUGCCUCCAAUCGUCAUGUUUGGACGAGGGCCUUCAUUAAACAUCAACUCCGAUCUUUAUCAUGAUCAUGGAGGAAUCAUCCUUGGAGCUCUGGGGCUCAACAUCAACAUUGCCCUCGGGCGACCAUGCUGUUCUUCCUGACAACAAACUUGUAUCCGCUGUCACCACCUCCUUGGACAUCGCUUUGACGAUUUAUUUCAGUGGAAUUCUGCGGAAUUGAGUCUACAACAACCCUGUAAAAUUUCGCCGCGUUCCAAAGGAGCAAUCUCCAUCGAUCUCCGAUAUACCGGACCCCUGUCGAGUCUGGACGGGAAUCAGGACGAGUUUAGGGUGUGGUCUCCAGAGCCCAGCUCGGGGGUUAUUUGGAAGAUCCAACCGUUCAUCUACUGUGGAAUUUCCAUAUCUACCACCUCUCAAAAUUUCAGCUCGAUCCGACCGUUCAAACUCCGGAAUCUUUUCGAUUAGUGCAUCACAUUUUAGAUCUGUUUUCUGCGUGAAUACGAAUCUGACCUGAGAUUAUCUCUCUUCAUGAACGAGAUAUUGGACAACCUUUUUGGAAGAAUCUGUUUCUAUGGUAUUGUGUUUUGUUUCUGAACACAUGCUCACGAAUUUUGCUCCUUUUCGGAGGUAAUCUUCACCAUCAUGUUGGUGUCAAACCAGUCCGGCAAUAUUACUUCACGGCUGCCGACCUGCACUAGACAUGUCGUAGCUUUGUUGUGUCACGACCCCGAUUCCAAGUCACAUCGAUCUAGCCGGUAACACCUCAUAUCACAUUGCGGCCUCACGCACGGUAUCCCCACGGGUGUCGCCUUACCAUGGCCCGGGACCGUUUGCGCCUUUUGGCUCACGUAUAUGAUAGUGUCGCUAGCAUCGAUAUGACAGAGAACCCGGGCUGACAUGGCUAGUCGUGAACCCAAAGCGGCACAGACCUAUGGAGACAGGCAUACGUGAACCAUAUUGAGCAUGUCGGUCAUUAGCGUGUGAAUCCGGGCUAUAGCACUGGGCUAACAGGACUCCGGGGAACCCGGGCUGUAGCAGGCUAGGCAGGACUCUGGAUGUCACCGCGUGACAUUUCCCUGAAGGGACAGACAUAGGAACGAAGUGAAAGACAAGCCGGCCAGUCAAGUGUCCUGAGCAGUAGUGAUGGUCUAGCAGGACUCCAGUGAACCGGGCUGUAGCGGACUACUAUGGCUCGAGGAGCACUAGACUACAUUUCCCCAUAAGAAAGGCUGCCAAGGAUAAACAACUAGAUUGUCGGAUCCCACGCAUACCAAGCAUUUCAAUCAUACACACAAUAUGCUCGAUAUGUGCAAAUACAACAUGGCAUCACAACAAAACUCUACAACUCAAGUACUUUAUUUAAAGGCUCCAGAGAGCCAUACAUAACAUGUUCAUACAGGUGGGGUCACAUGACCCGACACUCAAGUCAUACAAGCAUACAAGCACAUGCGGAAGCAAGUAGUCUGAGUAUAGACACUAGAAAGCAAGAAGGCUUCUCGAAGCCUGUCUAUCUACAUAGGGCCCUUCAUGGCCAGGAUCACCACCUGGGUGGCAAGUUACUCAUCGACGUCGAGGUCUACAUAAAACCCAUCGGAGGGGGCGGUGUUGUCGUCUGAAAACAGUAAUUAGCAAACAUGAGUUCAAAGGUACUCAGCAAGUCUUACAUCAGAACCUACUAUACAUGCUCAUUCUCAAGAAGGUGGUGGGGUUAUUGCAGCAAGCCAGCUUUGACUCUUGGCUAAGCGAUCAUAUGGAACACCACUAGUAAAAUAGCUUUCGCACACGAGUCCACUAAUCACCAACACAAUACUCCACCGGGGAUCCUCCCUCAUCAUCCUACGAGAGAGCCAUCCUCGGUACUCACACUUAUCUUGAGUAUUUUAGUAGUAUCCAUUAACUUGUCUAUGAACUGUAUAGGAAACCAAGUAGUCCUUUAUCGCGGACGCGGCUAUUUGAAUAGUUUUAUACCCUACAGGGGUGUACUUCUUCAUACACGCUUUCACCACUUACCGCCGUUUACAUGACAUGUACUCGGAAACCUUCAAGCGGAAGCCCAACGAGGGUGUCGGCCACGGCCUACCUAAACACUCAAGCCUCUAGUCCAGGUUUAUCGCCUAUCCAGGUUCCAUCCGUAGGGAGUCCGGCCGAGGUUUCCACAUACGGCCCCGAACGAUGUGAAUAGGGUUCUCGAGACACCAAACAGGUGACUCGGUACACCGUGCCAUGGUGUAUCUACCGCAACAUAGCCCACCCCUAGGGUCAGCGCUACGCACGUCCGCCAACACAUAACCUACAAACACCAGAAACUAUUUGCAACUCCUGGACAGAGUACUAGGGUGAUUAAGAAGCCGAGAGGGUCCAUUGGUUUUGCGCCCAAUGUAUGGUAGUAACUGAAUCUUAAAUCACAUAUACAGAUCUCAGUUCCUAUGGACAGCCUCAAUGAAACAACCCACCAUGUACUCCUACAUGGCCUCUCAUCGAUACCUUUACCAAAUCAUGUUCAACACAUCCCUCACAUUACCAACAUAAUCAUUUCACUCUGCCCAUCACCCAUAUGAACCAGACCUGACACAACUCUAAGCAUAGCAGGCAUAGCAAGGUAGGAAACACAUACAUGGCUCAAUCAACUCAUACACAUACUAGUGGAUUUCAUCUAGUUACUGUGGCAAUGACAGGUCAUGCAGAGGAUAAGGGUUCAACUACCAUAGCACACAGCAGUUUUAAUCGCGUUGUCUUAAUGCAGUAAACAAGAGCAAAAGCGAGAACAUGGGUUUGUAUCAGAAUGAUCAAUGGGUUGCUUGCCUGAUGUAGUGGUAGUAGGGUACUGCCCUUCAGACGGAUACUCGGGGUUAUCCUCGGAGGCAGAACCUACCACGAAAGACACACCGAACAUAAUCAACACAUGACGAUAUGCAACAAUAUGAUGCAUGCUAUGACAUGGCAAAAUGAUUGUGUCUUGGCCUAAUGCAAGCUAAAACAGAAAGGAAUGAACUCAUUUGAAUCAAAGAUUCAAAUGUUAGUUCAUUUAACAUAGCCUUAUUAGUGCAUUAUCUUAUUUUGCUUAAACAACAAGGUUAACUUGUUUUGUCAUGCAUGAAACCAUUACAGAUGAAUAGAUUGAAUUUUUCUGAUCAUUUUUCAUAUAUAAAUUGUUUGAUUUGGAGCUAUGGUUGAUUUUCUAUGAUUUUUAGAAGCUUUGGCUAUUUUCUGGAAUUUCCUAUUAAGGAAUAAAUCCAGAAAAGAAUUUACUGCGUCAACAUUGCGUCAGAGUGACGUCAGCGAGUCAAAGGCGCCAGGGCCAGUCAAACCUGACCAGUGGGCCAUGUCUGUCAGUGUCUCAGCUAAUUAACAGGAUUAAGUUAGUACUAAUUAACUGUCAGUGGGGCCUGGGCCCACAUGUCAGUGACUAAACUAAUUAAAAUUAGUUAACACUAAUCCUAAACUAAUUAGCAGGCCGGCCCACCUUUCAUAGGCUCAGGGGGGAAGUCAACCUAGGCCCACGCGUCAGUCCAUGGUCAAAAGUGGUCAAGCUCGCCGGCGUUUAGCCGCCGGCGAGGCCAGACGCGGCUGCGCAGCGCGGGUUUUUGCACUUCGGUGACCAAAAGGACGGCGGAGACCAUCUACGUGAUGCGGGGAGUGAGCCGCGUCGAGUGGUGGCAGUGGGUGGAGCUGGGGUGGCUGGAAACGACGGCGGCGAGCACGUCCGCGACGGCUGGAGUUCGGGCGAGGUCGAACUAGUCGCUAGCAGGCACGGCGAGGGGCGUGCGGGGGUGCUACGGGCUCCUGCGAGUGCGUUGAAGACGAUGGCGUGCUCGGUUGCGACCCAACAUGGCUGUGGCCACGACGGUGACGUGCGGUGGCGGCGGCGAGCUUCGGCUCCGAUGGCCAUGGUGGUUAGGGGACGCGGACGAGCGCGGGGAGAGGGGGAAACGGUGGCGGAGCUCAUAGCGGUCACGAAGAGGGGCUCGGCUUGCUCGGAGACGGCUUGGCGACGGUGAAUCCGGCGAUGGAGUCCGGUGGCCGUUCUCGGGGAAGACGACUCGUGGAGGCGAUGUGGGGCUCCUGCGGUGGCGUGGCUCGGGUUGGAAGGAAGAGGGGGUCGAGGCGGAGCCUCUAGGCCGGUGAGAGAAGCGAGGGAGAGGCGGUGGCCGCGGUGGUGCUUGUCGGCAGCGACGGCUGCACUCGGCAGGGGAUGGGGAGAGAACCAGAGGAGGGAGAGGGGCACAGGGAGAGUGGGGAGAAUGAGAGGGGAACGAGAGGGAGUGCGUGGCACUCGUAGGCGCGCCCGGGGCGUCGGCAGAAGCAGGAGGUGGCCGGCGUGUGGCCGCGGGCGCCGGCCACGCGCCUCUCGUCCUCCUGGCGAGAGGAGGAGGACGACUGGCAGGAGCCAGUGGGCUGGGCCGACCUGGUGGGCUAGGUGGGCUGUGCCAGGUAAGUCUCUGUUCUCUCUCUCUUUUUCUAUUUUUCAUUUAUUCUAUUAUUUCUAUAACUUCAGGGCUUUGUUAAAAAUGCCAGGGCAUUUCCAAAAAUCAUAAAAUUAAUCAUGGCUACUGCUUAGAAUAUAUCCAACAGCAAACAUUUUAGUUUAUGAUUAUUUGAGCAUUUGAAAUAUUUUAUAGCAUUUAAAUGCCCAAAUGCAAAUACUAUAAGAAUUAAUCCAAUGACCUUAAGAUGUCCUAGAAAAAUGUGCAAUAUUUUUGUCAAAGGUUUUAACCCAAAACAAAAAGGGUGGGCUUUUUAGAAGGGCAUUUCAGGUUCAUAGAAAAAGUUUUUUAGUAAACCCUAGUUGUUCCAGGGGGGUGCUGGGGGUUCUGUCAUCCCCAUUUCAGUUUUCUGGGAAUUUAAACUUGAUGCACAUGUUCAACCAAACCUAAUGCAUGACUAACACAGGGAUGUGAAAUGUUGAGCCGAGCCCAACUUCUUCGGAUCAUCAUGUCAGCGAGCCGAACAAAGAGUUCGGAAUCACAAAGGAUAAAUCAUCACCAACAUCGCCACCCUACGAUCGCACGGAGCGGGCACACCGACAUCGCCGCAUGGUCACUUCAUCAAGCCGGCAUUGACCGCGUCACAAGUUACGACCUGCAUCGGCAUGGCUGCACUGUUGCUUCUUCAAGCCGAUGUCCAUCACGCCGAACUGUUUCAACACCUCAGCUGACACGACAGCUGCAACGUCUCCUUACGGACCCGCUCCGUCACCUCGGCUGGACUGGGGGCUUCACCAUAUCUUCAUCAAACCUACUCUGGUGACUUCGGCGUCACCAGCCGACCUGCUUCGACUCAUCGGCUGACAUGGAGGCUUCGACACCUCGGCUGGAUCGAGGAUGUUGCUAUUUCUUCAUCAACAUACUCCGGUGACUCCGGCGUCACCAGCCGACCAGCUUCGUCAUGUUAGCUUGAUCGGGGGCUUUGUCUCGGCAAGCUGCUACCUCUUUUAGCACUGCGUUGGUUUUCCCCAAAGAGGAAGGGAUGAUGCAUCAAAGUAGCGUAAGUAUUUCCCUCAGUUUUUGAGAACCAAGGUAUCAAUCCAGUAGGAGGCUACGCGCGAGUCCCUCGCACCUGCACAAAACAAAUAAAUCCUCGCAACCAAUGCAAAUAGGGGUUGUCAAUCCCUAUAGGGCCACUUACGAGAGUGAGAUCUGAUAGAUAUGAUAAGAUAAUAUUUUUGGUAUUUUUAUGAUAAAGAUGAAAAGUAAAAUGAAGGCAAAGUAAAUAGCAAAGUAAAUAAGUAAGUAGUAGGAGAUUGAUAUGAUAAAGAUAGACCCGGGGGCCAUAGGUUUCACUAGUGGCUUCUCUCGAGAGCAUAAGUAUUCUACGGUGGGUGAACAAAUUACUAUUGAGCAAUUGACAGAAUUGAGCAUAGUUAUGAGAAUAUCUAGGUAUGAUCAUGUAUAUAGGCAUCACGUCCGAGACAAGUAGACCGACUCCUUCCUGCAUCUACUACUAUUACUCCACUCAUCGACCGCUAUCCAGCAUGCAUCUAGAGUAUUAAGUUAAAAACAGAGUAACGCCUUAGGCAAGAUGACAUGAUGUAGAGGGAUAGACUCAUGCAAUAUGAAGAAAACCCCAUCUUGUUAUCCUCGAUGGAAACAAUACAAUACGUGCCUUGUUGCCCUUACUGUCACCGGGAAAGGACACCGCAAGAUUGAACCCAAAGCUAAGCACUUCUCCCAUUGCAAGAAAGAUCAAUCUAGUAGGCCAAACCAAACUGAUAAUUCGAAGAGACUUGAAAAGAUAACCGGUCAUACAUAAAAGAAUUCAGAGAAGAUUCAAAUAUUAUUCAUAGAUAGACUUGAUCAUAAACCCACAAUUCAUCGGUCUCAACAAACACACCGCAAAAAGAAGAUUACAUCGAAUAGAUCUCCACAAGAGAGGGGGGAACAUUGUAUUGAGAUCCAAAAAGAGAGAAGAAGCCAUCUAGCUACUAACUAUGGACCCGAAGGUCUGAGGUAAACUACUCACACUUCAUCGGAGGGGCUAUGGUGUUGAUGUAGAAGCCCUCCAUGAUCGAUGCCCCUCCGGCGGAGCUCCGGAACAGGCCCCAAGAUGGGAUCUCGUGGAUACAGAAAGUUACGGCGGUGGAAUUAGGGUUUUGGCUCCGUAUCUGAUCGUUUCGGGUACGUGGGUAUAUAUAGGAGGAAGAAGUACAUCGGUGGCGCAACAGGGGGCCCACGAGGGUGGAGGGCGCGCCUGGGGGGCGGGGUAGGCGUGCCCCCUACCUCGUGGCCUCCUGUUACGUGUCUUGACAUAGGGUCCAAGUCUCAUGAGUUGUAUGCGAUGAGAACAUCACGUUCCCGAAGGUUUCAUUAUGUUUGGACUCCAUUUGAUAUUCCUUUUCUUCGAAACCCUAAAACAGGCAAAAAAUAGCAAUUCUAGGCUGGGCCUCCGGUUAAUAGGUUAGUCCCAAAAAUAAUAUAAAAGUGGAUAAUAAAGCCCAAUAAUGUCCAUAACAGUAGAUAAUAUAGCAUGGAGCAAUCAAAAAUUAUAGAUACGUUGGAGAUGUAUCACAAGCCAACAUUUGCCAGCAUCGCCAUGCCGUCGCUUUAUCGCCCAUCAGACAAUGGGUGUGCGGAUCGAGUCCCAAUUUUGGGAGUCACCUUUCUUCGGAUUGCUACAAAAAAUAAACUAGGUGCUAUUAAUCCUAGUAAUUUUUGCUUGUUUUGGUUUAUUUUUCUCGAGGAAUUAUUACUCUGCUUUGUUCCAUCAUCUGUACACAGGUCUAUCAAAUGGUGGCCGCAUUAACGACGGUAGCGUGGUGGUUCAGCUUUGCCACGUCUUUACCGCAUCACGCCGACGCCCUGCAUCGACAUUGACUUCAGUGCCAGGCCACGUGUGUAGGUAAUCGACUUCGACUGCAUCACGUGGUCACUUCGGCAAGCCGACGUCAUCGUCCCAAUCGGCCUAAAUCGGCUCGCGUGAUCACCUUGUUGGUUGAAUUGCUAUACCGACAUGUUCGGUUGCCUCAGGACUUCGGCAUCGCUAAGAGAGCUCUACCUCAUCGAGUGUUCGGCACACAUGCCAUAUUUCUUUUAUUACUCACUUUGCAUAAAUUAUUAAUUAUGCAACAAAGUUUUUCAAUUUAUUAUUAUUACUAUUAUCUCCGGCUUGCACUAUUUCCUGUGCAUAGGUAAAUGAUCCGCGUCGGGCAGUGUUGUCACCUUGGUUGGACUGGGGCCUUCGUCCUCACUUCAUUAAACCACGUCGAGGAAUUCGGCGUCACUCUGCCGGCCUUUAUUGCUAUGCUAUGUCACCACUCCGGAGUGCCGAGCUCUUCGAUCUGCCACCUCGGGACCGGCUUGGGGGCUGGGACCUCAUCCCGAUGUAAGCUCGGACUGCGUCAUCAAUGCCAAACACAAGAACCAGCUAAGUCGCUCUUAUGCUCAAAGUUUUAAAAAUUUAAAUUUUGUUCGGUUCGACCAAGCAUUAUACUUUUUUGGCAAAGAGUUGUUUGUGAAAAACUUCCUUGUCAAAACUUUGUUUGUGACACACAAAUUCAAAUACCCCGUUUACUUGGGGGCUUCCUUUAUGAAGCCUUCCAUCUUGCAUAUGAUUAUACUUGUACGGCUUCGUUCCUUAUUUGUGUAUUACGCCACAAUAUGCACCAUGUUGACUUAAGUGUUCCGCAAGCUGGGUUGCCUUGCUCCUGUGUUUACCCCUACGUUCCCGAUUGUUCGGCUAGGGAGUAAAGGGAGCACCUCUGCGAUUGUCACGAUCAGGUCAUUCGAGCUUGGACCUCAUACUGGGUGAAGUCGAAAGCUAGCGCUCUUAUUGUUUUCAAUCAUGGUCGGCACACAAUGGAACUCAUGAGUACAAAAAUCUAUUGCACAAGUCUCAUAGUAACAAUGAGCAACCGAAUAAAGGUAUCGAUGGGGGUACUAUUUUCUUCGAAGAUGCUUCUUACACUUCGUCAGUAAUAUAGCAUAAGUUCCCUGAGUGCGCUUUGUCUGUUACAGCCUUAUGGCCUGAUUGCCUGGUUAUCAGAAGCACCAUCGAUAUUCUUGACAGGUGGAGUACAUAGCACUUUUCAGCCCUUGACCGAAGAGGGAGAAGUCGACGGUCGGUUAAGACAUGUUUAAAAGUUCGGGUGAACACAUAUAUGAUAUAAGUACUUCGGUACAUACAAUCAUUAUACAUAAAAUUAUUUUACCCAAGUUUACUGGGGGCUCUUAAAUUUAUAUGAGCCAUUUUAUAGUAAAUGUGUUUUCUUCCUAGUCGUUGCCAAAUCUUUUUCUAUCACUCCUUUUUCGACGCGAGUGCGUGGUCAAUAGCCGGAUAGCCCAUUUUCUCUCUAGUGACCGCUCGAGUUUAGUUCGGUAAACUGGUCUAACGAGCAAUACUCCACCUUCGGGAUAGGAGAUUGCAGCCAUAGGCUGGCCCGCUUGAUGUCUUGAUAUGGGAUGUGUCAUAUUAAUGCACGACAGAAGCGCAAAAGUAAGACCAAUUUUUGGAUUGGCACCAAAUGACUUGAUUUAGUUAGGGCGUAUAGUUUUUACUGAAGUUUUUUGGUUUUCAAGCCUAUGUCACUUUUAAACUAUUUGUUUUUUCCAACAUAAGUCUCAUAGUGCAGCGCUGGACACCUUUAGAGAUUCGGCACAAAAAUUCUCGGAUAUUUCUAUAUAUGCAUCGGUUUUGAAUUGUGUCUUUGGUCAACAGUUGGGUUGCCCGGCUCCUGUGCUUGCCUCCUACGUUUCGCUUCGUUUGGCUAGGUGUGCAAAGGGAGAACCACUACGAUUGUGCUUCCAACUCGAAUGGUUAAGCACCUCAGUGGAGAAAGCCGAAAACUGACUGUCACAAUGGGCGUAAACUGGUCAGUGAUCUGAUGACGGUAUCAAACUAUAGAUCAAUACCGAUUCCCCCGUGUUAAACGAUGGGCCUUUCAUAACAUUGGCCGAAGUGAUAAUGGCUAGACUUCGGUCGAUGCCGAACACUAACCGAGGGCUCGUAGCUAGCUUCCCCAGUUUAAAGCUCCUAUGACUAAGUGAAAGUUAUAAAGCCCACAUAUCUAAUUGCCUCGUUUCUGCUAACACAACCGCCUUCGGGCACCGAGAUGUCGGCUCAAGGUUGUCUUGUUAUUGCGGAAACACCCUGCGUAGCAUCUCAAGGGGGUGGAAGCCGACGAUGGGCCACUUUCAAGUGAUAAAUGGUCGCAACAAAGUCAAAAUAAAUAUAUCAUCGACGUUCGUAUUUUAUAUACGAGGGCUACCUUCCGUAAUCAUCAUUAUAAAGCCGUAAAUAUGCAUCAAUUUGACUUAAGAUUUUGGCCAAGCUGGGUUGCCUGGCUCCUGUGCUUACCCCUACGUUCCCGAUUGUUCGGCUAGGCGGUAAAGACAACACCUCUGUGAUUGUUACUACCGGGUCAUCCGAGUUAGUACCUCAGACUGGGUGAAGCCGAAAGAUAGUGAUCUUAAAGGAUAUAAUUGGUUAGCAACGACGGAAGUGAAAAUUUUGGUUCAUUAAUACCAUAGAGUUCGGGAACUUUCCCCGAACUAAAUCCUCAAUAUUUUCCUCCCACAUUGAUUGGAGGUGAGGUUUGAUGAUCACGAUCAGCAUGAAAACCCAAAGAAAGGAACCGAUACCGGGAUUAUUUGCUUUGGAAGAUGUUUCAUAUCUCUCUGUGUACCUUUGUUUAUAAAACCGUAUGGCCGGAUUGCCUUGUUUUCCAUAAACCUUUGCCCUUAUAAUGGCUUUAUAAAGUAGGACAAACACUCCCCGGCUUUUGGCCGAGGAGGUUGAAGCCGAUGGUCGGUCAACAAAGUUUUGUACAAUGCGGAUCCGAGCAUUAAUGAUGUAAAGUACUUGGAUAGGUAGAAUCAUUACACAUAAUUUGUGAUUUUACUCUGGAUAUCGAUCCUUAAUUCGGCCACCCAUGCCCACAUUAAGGCUCGGGGGCUGCUGGGCUUCGGGCUUAUCAUUCACUAAUAUUAAAAGGGGCAUAUCAAUCCCCUGAUCUCGUGUUGCCACCAGACCAGUGUCUUGGGGGCUACUGAUUUGCCUAUUCAAUGCAGAAAAUUCAAAGUGCUCAGUGUUCGGCUGGACCGAACUAUGGGCAAACGCGUCUUGAAACAACAAUAAGUACCAUGUGGGACAUAUCCCGCAUCAAGCUAAUAUAUUACGACAACUUCUCAAAACCCUCUCUCAAGGGUCCGUCCGCCGAUCACUAUUACCUCUAAUAUAUUACACUGUGUUUCUAUUAAUAUGAAUGUUGUCGAUCUAGGAGUUGAUCCUCUUCACGACCUGAGUCUCAAAAGCUACUAGGAUCAACGGUUUCAUAUUUUCCUUCAGGUGCAUCUCAGAUUUUAGGCCGACAGACACCUUGAGGGCUACUAGCCAUACAUCUCGUCAGCAAAUAAAUUUAUACACAUCGGAAAUGAAAUCCGCAAACAAUCAGGCCAUGACCGAGGUGUUCAGCCACCUCGGAAGCAGUUCGGCAUAUAGCUCGGAUGCAAGUGGCUCGCUCCUCAGAGGACAUUUCCGGCAUUAAGCUCGGCUAAAACUUUUUCAAGACCAAGGUAAUCUAUGACACCUCGGAUACAGUCCAGAGUUGGAGCUCGGAUACAUUCCAGCGUUGAAGCUCGGAAGCGGUUCGGCGUUGGCGCUCGGGUGCAAAAGAUACCUCAAAUGCAGUCCGGCGUUGGAGCUCGGACGCAAGAGGACACCGCCGCACGGGAAACACUUCAAACACGAGGUGGGCGUAAAAUAACAAGGCAUUGAUAACGGCCGAUAACUUAAAGGGGCUCCUCAGGAUACCCGACGUGUAAACUCUUUGGAUUUACUUCGGAGAUCCUCAUGAUCGAAGAUAAGAAGAUUUGUUGAACCAGUUUUCAAGACCGACGACCGAAGAUGAAGAACAGUUCGGAAGAAUCGAGGAGCAUCCCCCACAUGAAGACCGGUUCAGGGGGGCUACUGACGAUGUCCUGGACUAGGGGGUACUCACCACGUCAUCUCCUGACCAGCUGGAUCGCGCCGAGGACCCCCCAUGUCCGUUCACUCAUGGGCCACUUUGGGCAGCUCAUGCCGCACAUGAGGAAGAUUCCACAAGACUUGAUGAUCAAGAGAAGGACUCCUCUCCACCAACGUAUUUGACUAGGACUCUUCUUAUCAUAGGACUCUUGUACAUUAUAUAAACCGAGGCCGGGCUAGUCGCUAGAUGAUUAUGACAUAUUCCUCAUACCCUCAGGUUUUAGACCACAACAUAUGAUCUCGCGGUAGAUCAACUCUGUACUUGAUCAUCCAUUAAUAUAAACAAGAGUAGGACGUAGGGUUUUACCUCCAUCAAGAGGGCCUGAACCUGGGUAAAACAUCGUCUCCUUCGUUCCUGUUACCAUUGAUCCCAGAAUCCAUAGCUCGGGACCCCCUACCCCGAGAUCUGCCAGUUUUGACACCGACAGUUGGCACCUCCGGGACCAGCGCGGCCUCGGGGGCUGACUUCUCCCGAGGAUGCUCCACCCAGCCUCGCGAGAAUGAUUGGGUUGGUGAAGCACGAGCGCCAUAUCCACCUUCACUCAUGGAGAAGGGUGCGGCCGCAGGAGGCCAUCUGGGCUCAAGCGGUGCCACCUCACUCUCCCUUCUCCUCUUCGCCGCAGGCCUAGUUGCACAACGAAGAAGAAGAAUAAGAAGCAAGAACAAGACGGGACGAGAACACUUACUAGUCCACCACGGCAUAGUCGCUUCGGGAGAUUGAAGCCGGAGAGCUUCACGACCCGUGGCACGAGUGCGCCAGCUCCGGGAGCAGAAGCAGGGGCAGUAGCUAGGCCGGAAGCACCUCCAGGCGAUAGUGAGGCAGGAGCGUCGUCUCGGGAGAGCAGUGCUGACCUGCUCUUCAUCGGAACCACGGGCGGCUCCCCCUUCUCCAGGAGGAUAUCGUCCUCGCCAUCGUCGUCGGGCAGGAGGCAGAGGAUGUCAGCCUUGCGCAAGGGGGAGGUCUCCCUCAUCUCCUCGGGGGCUCCCUCUAGGUCGUGCUCCUCGUCCUCCUCCUCCUCCUCUCCGUCCCUGCGGGGCUCACCAGAAGAUACGUCCACCGUCAUCGUUGCCGCAGGAACCUCAAAAGGCACCGGCGGCACCAGGCCGCGCCUGUCAAAGGUGGGCCUGGCAUCCAUGACCUACGCCCCGUCCUUCCGGAGCAAACAGGGAGCAUGGGGAUUCGGCGGAUACUCUUGGUCGUCUCCGACCAGGAGGCGGAGGGCCGUGGCCAGCUCCUCAUCGGACAAGGCCUUCGGGCUCAAGCGGAGCUUGUCUUCCCCAUCCACAAGCGUCCAUAGGGGGCGCGUGCGCGCCUGGAGAGGAGCCACCCACUACGCCAAGAAUUCAUUCAGAAGCAUGGCCCCCGUCAGUUUCGCCGCCUUCACGCUGCCCGGCCUCAGGUCGGCGUUCAUCUUCUCCGGCACCAGCUUAGCCCGCUCGUCGGUAAGCUUCACAGGACCACCCCUCAUCAGGUCGGGGCAUCCCCGUCGGCAGCUUCAGUCGUGGGUGGACACACUUGGCAUCCAUCAUAACCCACUUGCUCCUGAAGCCAUCGGCCUUCUUCCCGGUCUUCGAAAUCCCGUUGGCCUUGCCCGUUGCGAUGAAGUUGGCGCACCCCAUGGUGUGGCCUUCGUUGAUCCGGAGGUAGAAGAAGUGGCGCGGCAAUUCCACGGACGGCAUCACCCUGACGUACGCCUCACAGUAGAAGGCAAAGAUGGACAAGAGAAUAACGGAAUUGGGAUGGAGAUGAAGAGCAUGUAACCCGUAGUGCUGGAGGACCGCGUAGAAGUAGUCGAAGAAGAGGGGAACGAGGCCGGCGACGAUGCUGCCCAUGAAGAAGGGGUAGAAGAAGCUCUUCGGGGCUUCGGGCAUGGCGGAGCCUGCCCGGAGCAUGGUCUCCCCCUUCUCGUUGUUCUCCCUCGCCGUCAGCAGCUACAUGACGGCAAGGUUCUUCGCCGAGACAUUGGGCGCCUCCAGGCCCGGCUCGUACCAGGCGGGCGGCGAGUCAACCUUGGUCUUUCGGGGCGCCAUUGGACGGAAGCUUGGAAGGGGAUCAGAGCAGAUCUAGAGGAUUCGGAAGAAAGGGGCAAGAAAGGGGAUCUGGAGCAAGGCGGCGGACAGCAAUGAAGACGAGCGUAGCCCGCGCUAGUCUUUUGUCAAGUCGGGCAGUUGCCUAGGCUACAUGGGGAAGCUGAGACACCCACGUCCAAUCAGUCGCCACGCGUUGACAAAGGCCACAGGCUGUUGUGGCCCACAGCGCUCCGCACUUGCCCUUUGGCUUCACCUCGAAGCCAAGCCCGAGCGCGCCUUGGGCCCGGGGCCUACUGUCGGCGUUCUGGGAAUGGGGGUCCCCAGACUUGCCUGCCUGCGGCCUGCAGCGUGGCUCCCCCAGCGGCCUCGUAUGGCCCAUCUUCACCAGCAAACACCCAAGACCCCCGCAAGGGGCCAAGCCUCGCGAGGCGAACGAUGCAAGACCUCCUCAGGGACGGCCUCACCAGGCUGGCUCGCGAGGGGUGGAGAGAUCAAGGCAAGGCGAACCUCGCGAGGUUCCAAUGAUGUAAGCCAUGAUGAUCAAGACCAGGUGGGCGCCAGGCGGGCGCCAGCAAGCGCAGUGUCCUCGUUUCCUCUUUGGUGCUGAGGAGGCAAGCGCAGACGAGGAUUUCCAAGGCAUCAGACAAAGGUUUCCAUAUUGGUGCAACAAGACCGAGACCAGCAGGACGGCAGGAUGGAGGUCACCGUGGAGCACAAGACAGCGUUACCACUAGAGCCUUUGGCACGCGAAGACUACUUUUGUCAGGAUAACUUGUACUAGUUGUCUCCCUUCGAAUUUGGCUGUUGUGGGAUCCCUUCCCGCUCAAUAUUUGGGAAGGGGACCAAGGCCUCUAUAAAUAGACUGGCUGCCACCAUAGCUAGGAGAGAGGACCUGGGGUGGAGGCAUCUCAUCUUGGAUCGGAGCCAUUCCACCCUUAGCCUCACAAGUUCACCAAGCACAAGAACACCUCUCCCCAUGAGGCUGUUCUUCCAUUGUAACUAUUCAUCCUCAGCCCAAGAAGCAAUCCACAACACCACACUGGAGUAGGGUAUUACACCACAACGGUGGCCCGAACCAGUAUAAAUCUUGUGUCUUGUGUUCUUUGGGUCCGUCAAGCUAGGCCGUGAGAUCAUUGAGUGUGCGAGCUAGAGAGGGGGGAGAUCUUCGUGUGCACCCCAGUAUUCGAACCUCUAGGGUUUUGCCAGAACCCGAAAUCCGACAGUGACGCCAAUCCUAGUGUCAUCAGGCCCUUCAAUAGCUUCGAUGGGCUCCUCUCCCGUAUUGCUGCUCAGAGGGCCACGAUGGAACAAUCUACUGCUGAUGCAGACUCUGAAGAUGCACCUACACCACCGAAGCAGAAGAAGAAGAAGAAGAAGAAGAAGAAGAAGAAGAAGAAGAAGAAGAAGAAGAAGAAGAAGAAGAAGAAGAAGAAGAAGAAGAAGAAGAAGAAGAAGAAGAAGAAGAAGAAGUCAAAAGCUUCAAAGCCCUCUGCUGCACCAAAAGCUUCGACUAUGAAGCCAUUGAAGACUGCACCUCCUGAACUCAGUGUGUAGUCUGAAGACUUGUCUCAUGUCUCCAAGAAGACCAAGAAGACCAAGAAGACCAAGAAGAUUUCAAGCCAUGACCUGACUCCUAUUGUCGUUUCGCGCAAUGUGGAAAACACCAUUGAUCUGUCCAAUGAUGAAGAUCUUAGUGAUGAAGCUCUAGAGAUGUUGAUCAAGAGCAAGCAAGAGACAGAGAUCUUUCAUGAUCUGCCUCUCUUUGAUGCUGACAUUCUGAACAACUUCAUUCAUGAAUGGUUUGAGGACCAAAGCAUCAACAUUGAUGAUCUCCAGCUGCCAGUGGACAUCAGCGUCACCUUUCACGGUGCCAUUGCAAAUGAACUUGCUCUGGCUCAGAAAAUUGUCGAGCUAAAGAACAAGAUUGAUUAUGAGAAGGCAAACUUCAAGAAGCACAUGGCCAAGCUCAGCAUGGCUGAUGUGCAAAUCUUCAAGAAGAUGAUGAAUGACCUCAAGGAUGAAUUCAACAAGAAGCGUGAAGAAGCCAAAGGCUCACGCGAGCGCAUGAAAUACUAUGCGCUGAAAUGUGUGUAAGCACACAAUGAAGCUGAGAAGAGAAAGGCUCUUGGGCGUCCUGGCAUCGACCCCAAGAUGGCUAGCAAGAAAAAAAGAAGUCUGCUGAAGCCAUACCCGAAGCUCCACGGCAAGAACAACCAAUCAUAGUCUUCCCUGCCAGCAUGAUUGGCUCGAAGCCAAAGGUCCCCUCAGCAGCUUCCGAGCAGAAGAAGACAAGGCAAGCCAAAGCUGAAGCCAGGAAGAGGAAGCUGAAAGACACCUCUGAUGGUGCUCCCUCCAAAAAGAAGUUGAAGACAAAGGCUUCAAAGUCUUCAAAGAAAGAGCAUGCCUCUGCCCUAGAGCCCCUCAUCAUUGAACCCAUCACUAUUGCUUUCCCUGCCUCUACCAAUCAAGAACAUCAAGCUUCUCUUCUCACUAUUCCUGAAGAAGUUCCAGCCACUAGCGCUGAUGAAAAUGUUGCUGAAGAAAUGGAGGCCAAGGCUACUGUAGAAAUUGCCACCAAAAUUCCUCAGCCUGUCGCUCCAGAGACUGUAAUUCAAGAGGCUGUGAAAACUUCAACAGUUAAUCUUCAGCCCAAGCCUCAGAAUCCUCACUCCAAGAAGUAGAAGUUCAAGGCUGAUGACUUCUUCGCUGGGCACACUUUCUUCACGGUUUACAAUCCAUAUGACUCUGCAAGACUUAGACGCAAGCGCUUCUGGAUAGCAAGUCAAAUGAACUUCUAUUCCUCACUACUAUUUGAUAAAGACAAGAUCUUUGACCAUGAUCAAAUUCCUCAUGUGGAUAUGGAGUCGCUGCCAAGCUUCACCCCAGUCCUUAGUGUUCUUCAUGACACUGGGCUACUCAAUCUCUGCACCGACAUUUGCAAGAAUGAAGAACUCAUUCUUCAGUUCUAUGCCACGGCGCACAUCACCGGCAACAUUUUAUAUGUGAAUUCAUGGGUAUUGGACUGGAUGACAGAAAAUACUCACUACAAAGCACCAGCCUCUAAAUUGCUUCACGCCUUCCCAGUUAGUCCUCCCAUUGAAGGUGCAAGGCGCCUCUAUGAUGAACCUGAGCUCUCCAACCAUCUAAUGCAAGUGCUGAUGAAGCCUUUGAAGCCAGGCCAAGAUCCUAGAACCAAAUUCCUCGUAAAGGAACUGCUUUAUGUGCCAAGGACUAUAUACAGGAUAUUGACCAACACCCUCAGUCCAAUCAAGGGCCACAACUUUUAUUAUGAAGAAGUUGUUGGCAUCAUGAAGAAUCUGCUUUUCAACAUCAUACAUGGUAUUUGUAAGUGCAUCUAGUGCCACCCCUAGUUGGUUUUGGAGUAUUGAUGACAAACUUGGUUAAGGGACUAAUGUGUUUGUGAGAAUUGCAGGAUAACACAGGUAGUAGUCCCAUAUUGAUUCGGUUUACCUACCAGAGAUGACCCCUAAAAAUGUGUGAAGACAUUGAAGACAAUGGUGGUCCGUGAAGAGAUUCACAUUACAGACUAUGACAUGAGAAGACAUCGUAUGAGACUAUGGAGUACGAAGACAUAGUUGUUUUGUAGUUUCCUUUUCUUCUUUAUUGAGUCAUAGGAACCACCGUACUGUUAAGUGGGGUCCAAGUGAACAAAGUCAGAGUGACUGAUGUGAUGCUCAACAAAACCCGAUGUCUUCAAGCGAAGACAAUGAGACCAAAUCUUAUCCAGAGCUGGAUGAGUCAGCUUAACUUGUAGCCCAAGUCAAGCUGCCACAUGUGUUUGCAAUCUGAUCAUUGGACACGUGUCAGUUCCUUAGUGACCCAGGGUCAUCUCGGACAAAUCAGGUCGGGUUGCCUCCUGGCUAUAAAUAGCCCACCGCCUACACCAUAAAUUGGUGGCUGCUCAGAGUUAGUGCAUGGCUUUUGUCGUUUGAGAGCAACCCACCUCCGAAGUAUUUGAGAGAGAGAUCCUUGCGAGGACAAAGCCCAAAACACCUAGAGCAAAAGAGUGUUAGGCAUCGCUGAAGUCUUUCUGUCAGCGUGAUAUGAAGACUUGUUACACUUGAGGAUUGUGAAUCCUCCAUCUGGUUAGGCUUCACGUUCUGAGCGUCCAAGAGUCAUUGUGGAUCACCGAUGAAUGAAGUCUGUGAAGGUUUGGAAGUCUACCUUGAAGACAUACCAGAGUGAUUGGGCGAGGACUAUGUGUCCUUUGCUCAAGGGAAAUAAGGUGAAGACGCAGUCUUCUGAGUUGAAUCUCAGCCUCCCUAACCAGACUUACAAUUGUCAUAGCAACUGGAACUGGUCCACCAAAUCCUUGUCUUCAUCAAGCUACUAGUUCUAUCCUUCACUUCUCUUUACUUUACAGUUUGUCUUCGUGAAGUCAUUGCUUGCCUGUAUGAUCUGAUUGACUUCACUGAGUGCAGACUAUUUACCUUUUGGCUUCAUACUAUCUUCCACCCUGAUCCAUUCUACCUAGCUGCGGAUAGUCUUCAUGCUCUCACUUCAUUGCUUACUUGACUAUGGCUUGUCUAGUGUAGUCUACCUUCCACUGCAUAUCAAUAGGUUCAUUUCUUCUGUUUGUCUUCAAAGCCCCCGUGUUUUGAAGACUUUCAUAAAAAUCGCCUAUUCACCCCCCUCUAAUCGAUAACUAGCACUUUCAAUUGGUAUUAGAGCAAGCUGCUCCCUUGUUCUGUGUGAUUCGGUUUAACCACCUGGAGUUUCAGCUAUGUCGACUGCAGGGACAAUCAAGGUCUCCACUGCGUGCCCCAUUUUUGAUGGUCAUGAUUAUCCUCGAUGGAAGGCUAUGAUAAGGAAGCACCUUCUAGCUAUGGACAGUGAGCUUUGGUCUGUCACGGAGAUUGGUCUCACCGAUUGAUGCAAGAUGGCGCGUGCUGAUGAUAUUCAGAAGUACACCUUUCUGGAUACGAAGGCGAAGGCUAUUAUAUGCUCCCGUCUAUCAAGAGACGAGUUCAGGCACAUCAUGCAUCUAUGCAAUGCAAAUCUUAUAUGGGACCGGAUCUAUGACGUCUAUGAAGGUCACCGAACAUGUCAGGACCCAUGGUUCCUCUAAUUCAAGGAGUCUCUCAAAACGAUGACUCCCAAACCCGAGCCAUCUUCUCCUACCUACUGCUUCAUAGCAUGUGGUGCCAAGGUAAACUCACGCGAUGCUUACUUUCAAACUUCAAGUGAAGAUGACUCCGAAUGUGAAUCUAAACCUAGCUACAAAACACUUGCUAAAAUUGCAACAGAACAACAAAAUGCUAUGGAACAUAUUCAAAAGUUGCUAGACAAAAGCGAUGCCUGUUGGACGUGGAAAUGACUCGAACUCAUACCUUAAUUGAAGACAUUAAAAGUCUUCAUGUUAAGUACGAGGAACUUGAAAGUCAUCAUGAAACGCUCUCAACUACUCAUGAAAGCUCUCCUAUGAUUAUCUUCAAAGGAAGCAAGAGCUUGAGAACUUGAGAUCGGCUCAUGAAGAUCUUCAAAAGGAGAACGAGUCACCCCGCGCUCAACAGAUUAGUUCCGCUCAGGAAGACUUUGAGCCACCAUGUUUAAAAUGUCUUGAGCAUGAUAAUGUUGCUUCUGUUGCUGGAUGUUCUACUUCUACUGUUGUUGCUAUGUCUUCAACUGCUAAUGUGGAAACUAACCCCUCUUUUGAGGAUACCACUAUUAUUGCAGAUGAGAAUGCCAGGUUGAAGACAUUGCUUGAAACAGGGAUGUACAAAAGCCUCAAAGGGCAUCAGACACUGUGCGAUGUCCUCAAGAGACAAAUUCUGAACCGAAACCCUAGGAAAGAGGGUGUUGGGUUCGAGAGGAAAAUGAAUGUUGAUGGUUCCUAUUGGAAGCCUGAGCAGUACCCCCAAACCACAUGGGUUGCUGCAAAGGGACCUUUAGUGGAUCCAUCUACCUUAUAUGCUUUCACUUGUGCUAACCCUAUUAUCAUUGAUGAAUCCUUUGAUGCAAACUAUAAAAUGUUUUAAGAAUCAGAAUUGUGAAGUGUUUGCCAGGUAUAUUGGUACUAACUACAGGAAAGGACCCCCUUUGAAGAAGAUCUGGGUGCCCAAGAGUUGUCUUGAGAAUCUUCAGGUGCAUGCCAUCAUGACACCACCUGGGAAGAAGACAAACCCCAGACCAAAGGCUUCAUAUGGUCCAAAGAUUCAUACAGAAAGAGGACUCACCAGAGUCACCCUAACGCCAAUGUUUUGUAGGGAAACCAUACUCAGACUUAUGAAUAUGAGCGUGUUUCAUCAAACCUCUAUGUUCAUCAGACCAAGAACUAUUCUGCUUAUUCUUAUGAGUAUUAUUCACCUCCUUCAAGGCUAUUUGCUAGGGCUCCAAACCCAAAUUUCUCAGAUGCUGCACUUAGACUCAUUGCUUCGAAGCCACCCCUGAGGAUGUGGGUGGUUAAGAAGAAUUAACUCUCUUUUGCAAGGAAAGGUCUCCAGCCGAAAAUCAAAGGCGUCUGAUGCUUAUGCUGGGGACCUAAAACAUCUUGUGGGGCACAAGAUAAAAUGCCCAAAUGGUCAUACUAUGUAUUUUGUCCCUGGAUUAGUUGACAAUCAUCCUAUCUGCCCUAACCAGGAUCUGAACUUUGAUAAUAUGCUUAUUCGUCAAAUGGUUAUGCUUCACAUUUCCCUUAGUGAAGCCUAUCCCCCUAACUGCACUGUAGGGUACGGUACCAAAGGCUUCUGAGUGGAUUAUGGACAGUGGAUGCACUAACCACAUGGCUGGUGAUCAAAGUCUUCUCAUGGACUCAACCUUACGUCCAUCUGACAAGAGUCACAUCACAUUUGCUGACACUUGUAAAAGUAAGGUAUUGGGUCUAGGUAGAGUUGCAACCUCAAAGGAUCAGCACAUGGAUAAAGUGAUGCUUGUUGAAUCCCUUGGUUUCAACUUAAUGUUUGUCUCAAUGCUUUGUGAACUGAACAUGGUUGAUAUAUUUGGAAAAUAUUGAUGUCGUGUGCUUCUAGAAUCUGACAAAUCUCUAAUCUUUGAAGGAUAUUGAAAAGACGAUUCAUACAUGGUAGAUUUCUCAGUAGGACCACAGUUGGUCGUAUGUCUUCUAGCAAAAGCUUCAGAGUGCUCGCUCUAGAAUUGGAGGCUAGGGCCUGCUGGCAUGAGGAACUUGUACACACUGGCAAAGAAGAAACAUGUCGUAGGCAUCGAGGGCGUCAAGUUCAAGAAGGAUCAUCUUUGUGGUGUCUGUGAAGCUGGAAAGAUGACAAGGGCUAAGCAUCCCUCGAAGACAACCAUGACGACAUCUCGUCCCUUCGAGCUGCUUCACAUGGACUUAUUCGGCCCUACUCAUUACUCUAUUCUUACUACCACUUCUUGUCUCUAUGGCUUCGUUAUUGUUGAUGAUUACUCAAGAUAAACAUGGGUGCAUAUAAUUCUCUAUAAGAAUGAAGUGUAGAAUGUCUUCAGAUGAUUCGCCAAUCAUGCCAUGAAGAACUAUGGCAUCAAGAUCAAGCACAUUAGAAGUGACAACGGCACAGAAUUCAAGAACACCGGCCUCAAUACUUAUCUUGACACAUUGGUCAUCACUCAUGAGUUCUCUGCUCCAUACACACCUCAGGAGAAUGGCAUCAUGGAGCGCAAGAACAGAACUCUCAUUGAGAUGGCUCGGACGAUGCUUGAUGAGUACAAGACUCCAAGGAAGUUUUGGCCUGAAGCCAUUGAUACUGCAUGCCACGUCAUCAACCAGGUUUAUCUUUACAAGCUUCUAAAGAAGACAUCAUAUGAUCUCCUAACUGGUAAGAGGCCAAACGUCAGUUACUUCAGAGUAUUUGGUGCUAGGUUCUGGAUCAAAGAUCCACAUCACACUUCCAAAUUUGCAUCAAAAGCACAUGAAGGUUUUGUGCUUGGUUACAGAAAGGAUUCGCACUCCUACAGAGUCUUCAACCACUUUCACUAUAAAGUGGUUGAAACUGUGGAUAUGCGGUUCGAUUAAACUAACGGCUCACAAAGAGAGCACCUGCCGAAUGUGCUAGAUGAAGUCUCACCAAGUGAAUCCAUCAAGCUUAUGGGUACGGGAGAAAUCACACCUUCAGAGGCUCAGGCUGAAGAAGGACUCAUCGUUUCUGCACCUAAUCAACCCGAAGACAGUCCUCAGGCUAAAGUCAAUGCCGAUAAUGAAGACAAUGAUUAGCAAGACCAAAGUCUUCGUCCAGUUCAUCCUCGUGUUGCAAAUGAAGUGUAGGUUGAGAAGAUAAUCGAUAGCAUCAACGCACCUGGUCCACUCACUCGUUCAAGAGCUACACAGCUAGCAAAUUUCUGUGGGCACUUUGUAUUUGUCUCUAUAUCUGAACCCAAGAAAGUUGCUGAAGCCUUCAUGGAACCUAAAUGAAUUCAAGUGAUGCAAGAAGAGCUUCAACAGUUUGAGCUGAACAAUGUGUGGGAAUUGGUUAAGCAUCCUGACCCUCGGAAGCACAACAUCAUUGGCACCAAAUGGAUCUAUCACAACAAACAAGAUGAACAUGGUCAAGUUGUCAGAAACAAGGCUCGUCUCGUUGCUCAAGGAUACACUCAAGUUGAAGGGAUUGACUUUGAUGAAACAUUUUCUCCGAUGGCUAGGCUUGAAGCCAUUCACAUACUUCUAGCCUAUGCCAACCAUCACAACAUCCUCCUGUAUCAAAUGGAUGUGAAGAGUGCUUUUCUCAAUGGCAAGAUUGUAGAAGAAGUGUAUGUUGCACAACCACCUGGCUUUGAAGAUCCAAAACGUCCUGAUAUGGUAUACAAGCUCAACAAGGCACUGUAUGGCCUCAAACAAGCCCCUCGUGCUUGGUAUGACACACUCAAAGACUUCCUGAAGAGCAAAGGCUUCAAACCUGGUUCCCUAGAUCCCACACUCUUCACGAAGACAUAUGAUGGAGAACUGUUUGUAUGCCAAAUCUAUGUGGAUGACAUUAUCUUCGGCUGCACUGACAAGAGAUACAGUGAUGAGUUUGGACACAUGAUGCAAGAGCAAUAUCAGAUGUCCAUGAAGGGUGAGCUGAAAUUCUUUCUAGGUCUUCAAAUCCGUCAGCGGAGCAACGACAUUUCCAUAUCACAAGAGAAAUACCUCAAAGAUUUCCCGAAGAAGUUUCGAAUGCAAGACUACAAAGGAUACACGACGCCAAUGCCAACCAAAAGUCGUCUGGGUCCCGACGACAAUGGUAAAGAGUUCGAUGAAAAGGUAUACCGCUCCAUGAUUGGUUCUUUACUCUAUUUAUGUGCAUCUAGGCCAGAUAUAAUGCUUAGCGUUUGCAUGUGUGCCCGAUUCCAAGCGGCACCAAAGGAGUCACAUCACUUAGCUGUGAAGCAAAUUCUUUGAUAUUUGGCUUACACCCAACACUAGGAUUAUGGUAUCGAAAGGGCUCAGAGUUUGAUCUAGUUGGAUUCACAUAUGCUAAUUAUGCUAGUGACAAGGUUGAUCACAAGUCCACAUCAGGCACAUGUCAUUUUCUUGGACGAUCUCUUGUCUGUUGGUCUUCAAAGAAGCAGAACUGUGUAUCUCUCUCCACUUCUGAAUAUGAAUACAUUGCUGCGGGAUCUUGCUGCGCUCAGCUUCUGUGAAUGAAGCAAACUCUUAAGGACUAUGGCAUCCACCUGAAGCAUGUGCCACUCUACUGUGACAAUGAAAGCGCCAUCAAGAUUGCCAAUAACCUAGUUCAGCACUUAAAGACAAAGCACACUCAGAUCCGCCAUCAUUUUCUUAGAGAUCAUGUCAUGAAGGAAGAUAUUGAUAUCAUUCAUGUCAACAGUGAAGAGAAAUUGGCAGAUAUCUUCACAAAGCCCUUGGAUGAGAAAAUAUUUUGCAAGUUGCGGUGUGAGCUAAAUAUCUUAGAAUCCUCAAAUGUCUUGUAAUUGGACACACAUCCUAAUGCUUAUGCAUGUUGAUGACUUAGAUGUGCAACACACAAAGUAAUGUAUAUCUUCAAUCAAUGAAGACAUACAUUCUAAGUGUGAAUACAUUAACGCGGAAUUUGACUUUGGACCGCCACGAUAAUUGUGCGUCGUGUCUGGGUCUAAUACUUCCUAUACAGUGGAAAACUCCACCACCAAAAUCUUUUUGAAGUGUUUUAUGUGGCGUCAAUAUUGUAUAGUCUUCGCAUUUGGUUUAUCUUCAACUCUGAUUUGACUUCAUGUUUAUCUUCACAAUGUUGAGUAGGUCCGAUAUAUAUGACAAAUUUUUCCUACUACCGGGUGUAGUUACACCCAUUUUUAUUUUGUACGUUUUAGAUAGUAUCUACCAUACCGCAGUGUAUGUAUACGUAAUAUGUAGUAUGUAAGAAUAUUUAGGUAGUAUAUAUACUAUUUUUAGGUAGUAUGUAGUAUAUUUUUGGCAUACUUCUUUUUACGUACAAAUAUGUAUGUAUUUUCACAAAUAUGAUAAAAACAUGGGCUCACAUGCAAUUUUUUUUACAUAACUCGCUUUGGAGUAUCUUAGAUAUAUUUUAGAUAUAUUACAUGAACAUAGUAAAAAAUAUAAAGUAGUAUGAGAAAUGGGUGUAGCUACACCCGGUAGGAUGCAUAUAUAUAUAUAGGGUCGCACUAUUCGUCACCCUGGAUGAGGAAUAGUUAUUCUUCAUCCUCCCUCUAUUUUACCAUCAAUGCACUGUAAUUUUACGUUCCGUAAGUUUUGUCUUAUUUCCGACGCAAAAAGAGACCGUAAGAAAAUGUAUAAUCGCCGUAAAAAAUAUUUUAUGUUAUGUAAAAUUACAAACGUAAAAACAUAGUCUAAAAUACACAUAAACUGUAAAUUUUCUUGCCUUAUGACCUAUAUUUUUUAUUUUCUUAUGUAAAAUUUUAAGUAGUCAAUCAACAGAAAUAUAAAUUUUGAAUUCCAAACAUAAUUUAAUUAUGAAAUGAUUGUAAGAUUACCUCGGGUGAAGAAUAACUUAUUCUACACCUAUAGGGCCGCGCUAUUCGUCAACCUGGGUGAGGAAUAAUUAUUCUUCACCCCUCUCAAUUUUGACAUCAAUGCAUCGUAUUUUUACGUUUCAUAAAUUUUGUCUUAUUUCAUACAUAAAAAGAGAGCGUAAGAAAAUAUGUACUCAUUGUAAAAAAUAUAUUAUGUUACGUAAAAUUACGAAUCUCCACUACUAUUAAACAAUCAAACAAGAACUUCUCUAAACACACCUCACAAAAUGUACACAGAUCCAUUAUCACCGUAAGAUUGAACCCACUAAAUUUAAUCUAACGGUUUAUCUUAAUCUAAUUUUUCUCUUGUGUGUACUUAGUAAUUUAGAUUGACUGAACAAACUCCACCGCAGAGGAAACUUCACGCCCGCAAAAUCAAUCCCCGUAAGUCACGCAAGGCAUGAAAAAAAAUGUGAAGAAAUUACUCACCUCAGAUAAUAAUUCAACGAAUAUCCUGUAAUCACGCACAAAACUAACACACAAUGCCCACGCUCCCUCCCCAUCGCCACCAUGGGAACAGGAGCCGCCGCGCCCCCAGCCUCGUGUCGCCCGCAGCAUGCCGCGCGCCGCUCGGCCUGCAUGUCCUCCCUCGAGAAGCGGCGGCACAGAACCAGAGUGGUCGGUAUGCGUCAGUGGCGGCAAGGUCCAUCUCCUCCCUCGACCAGCGGCUGCAGACCAGGACACAGCGGGCGGCCACAGACGCGGCGGUGGAUGCGGGCCACGGUAGCAGAGCUAUGCGUGGCGGCCCUUGUGGCGCGGCCGCGAUGAUGUCGUGGCAGCUGCGCGGCGGAGGGUGUGUGCGUAAAGGGUGCGCAUUCCUCCGGCUUCCGACGUCCCGCAGCAUGGAAGGCCUGGACUGCGAGACGGAGGGCAGCCUAUGGAGUGCCGUGGGGGUGUAGCUGGCUAUGAGGUCUGGAGAGGUGGCUAGGAAGACGGUCGCGUCCAUGACACACGCGUCGCUCUCUUCAUCACACACUUUGUCCUUUGUCUUCCUACAGAUCUUGUUUUCUCGACAUCUAUAGUCUAGAUCGAAGGAAGAUUCGCUUCUUUGCCAAUUCUCCCUGCCAUUCACUCAUCUCCAAGAUAUUAAUCUUACAUCUUACAACACAAAGCUUACUUUGAACUCCUUAUGAUUAGUCUGUCAGAUGUAUUUGUAGUAACUCUUAUCUAGAAAUAUGUCUCACGAAAGAAAUGCCAUCAUUCAUAGAUAUAGUUGAUAGUCUUGAUUCCAGAGCCGUGAUGACACUAUGUUAAGAACCACCAAAAAGAGAAUGAAUUUCUAUGUAAUAAUGUGGCAAAAUCUUUUUUUUGUUCAUGUGUUCUAUCUGACGUGAUUUUUCUUGCUACUAACUUUCCUGCUCCUGACAUAUAAACUCCUGUUUGCAGCACUUGGAUAUACGUAGUUGUAUCAAAAUUCCCUUCUUACAACAUGGCUUGCUGCUACCAGGAAUAUUAGAUUGGAAGCACCUACAUUCGACUAGAUUAAUUUGAUUUCUUUAUUAUAGCUUGCUUCCUCAUUGACUUCGUAAUAGUGAUACUUGUAGUUUGAAAGUAUUUUGUUUCAUCUUUGGCAUGUUAUUCAGUUUUCAGAAUUGAUCUCCAAGUGUUUAUGAUGGUGUGACUGAAUGUUGAGUAAGUCCCACCUAUGGAACCUCAUAAGGCUAAGGCAUUCAGACUAGAUGCGUGGAUUAUGUGGUUGCUCACUAGAUGUCUUCAUUCACUGUAGUUGAUGGUGUUGGAAACAAUAUAUGGACACUUGGUUAUUUCUUUGAGUUGACACACGUCCAAUAAGAAAUCUGCGCCGACAAAAUGAGAGAGGAAUUCAGCCCUAAAGAAAGCACUAACAGUGAAACCGGCAUAUAUUUUAUCACUUGGUCCUUCUAUCAAUGAAGCAAUGUCAAGAGGUAACGGAUGUAGUGUGGAUAAUGCAGGUAUAAAAUUUUCCUCAAUAUAGUACUGUUUUUUUCUGUCAAUUUGGUGUUAUGACGGAAGAUUGGGAAGCAACCAAUUAGUCGUUUCCGUUCUCUGUACAUAAUUACCUUAGCAUAUUUUCAUUUCAAUGCUUUCCCUUAUUUAUUAACAGAGUUUGCUAUGGAGACUCUAAAUUAAUUGAACACCUACACUUGCCCCAGAACUCUUGGUAGCCAAGAGCCUCACACAUGGAUGUCAAUCGGGGCUUCCAUCCCACACCACUUUGUUGGCCACGACCGCAAUCGUCCCAGCAUCACCCUCCCGCCGUCGUAAAAGAUCCGGCAUUGCUGCCCACACCCCUGCUUUGCUGCAUACCACUUCUCUAGCAUGUACAGUGGGCCGGCAAGCAUGCGACUGAAGACGAUCAGGUGACAAUGUAUUUUCACAAGUAUUGGCAAUGGACAGUACCAAUGCCGUAACUAAUUUAUUCUAUCUGAGUAGCAGUUUCUCAUUAAUUUCAGUAGAUAUCCUUAUUUUGGUUUACGAUCCAUCAGUAAGGUUUGUCUAUUUUCAUUUUAAUUUUCCACACAUCUGUUUCAUAGCAUCCAAAUUCUCUAUUAAAGAGAAAUAUGUAUGGAGUUCAUGUGCCAUUCAUAUAUUCUAUUGUAAAUUUUAUUUUUAAGUUAUGAAUCUGAAUGUAACUGCUAUAUCGAUUCACUACAAAGAUGUGAUAUUCAUUCUAUAACAUUUGUUCUGGUGAGGCUCAUGAGUUAUCUUGGAGAAUGUCACCUAUUUAGAAAGAAUAUUUUCCCUACUUGCUAUUGGGUGGAAUUUUUCAUAGCAUCACAGUUAUGUUCGAAUCCUUCUAAAUUUUACUAAUCUCAUCAAGAUUUUCUUUUUGACAGUGUAAUCUUACCAAGAUCAUGUGCUUUUUUUAUCUCUGGUUCUUGCAAGACGAUUCUUUGCAGUACGUGUCAGGUUAGUGAGUUGAAUCGAACGAAUCCUCUGGCCACUUAGGUCUUUAAGCCCCGGUUCUUGCUUUUGUAGUUUUGUUUAUUCUCUUCCAAUUUUUGAGCCAAGGUUGGAAUGUUGAGUCGGCAGAAAAAUGUAUCGGAUCCAUAACAAAUGUUCUUUGCACAACAAUUAUACAUAUGAGGAAAAGAGCAAGAGGUAUUGGUGAAUAGUGUUGAUUGUGUUUAUGGACAUGAUUUGAUUUGGAUACUUUUGUUGUAUAUAUCCAAUUGUAUCGUUUAUAACUUAUGGAUAUUAAUCAAAACGUGUGUCGCAUGUGCACGCUUACUAGUGUAAAAAUAUAGUGUAAAACAUACUUAAAAUGUGAUUUUUUGGGUAUUAUAACCUAUAUCUUUGUUUUUUAUACCAAAUUUUACAUAUUGAAUUAAUAUGCAUGUAACUAUUUAUAUUCUAAACGUAAUUUAUUUAGGAAGCAGUCAUAAGAUUACCAUGGCUGAAGAAUAGCUUAUUCUGAACACUGGGUGAUGAAUAACAACACUAAUAUAUAUAUAUAUAUAUAUAUAUAUAUAUAUAUUAGCAGAAUAACUAUUCUGAUAACACUUCCGCAUUGCACGCUCAAUGCAAGUGCACGUCAUUGUUUGAACCAAGUGUGCUGCAGUACUUGAUGAAGCUAUGUACCUAGGGUAGAGUCAUGGACCUGUCUAAACAGCCCUACCCAAGGACAUCUCUAGAAGAAAUCACCUUUCAAUCAACUUGGAAGUGUUCCACUCGACAGACUCGGAGACACUCGACCAAGAAGCGAUCACUCGACCAAGACCAAACCACUCGACGGCUAGGAGACCUAAAGGCACUCCGCACGCUAACGGUCGAUUAUUAAGUAGCUUUUAUGAUCAUCAUAGCACUUUAUUAAGGGCGUUACUAGUAACGCUCGACCUUAAUGUAUUUAAAACCCUGCAUAACUAAGGGCCGAAGGGAUCCGGCGAACUCUAUAUAAGCCACCCCCCUCCUUGCUGUAAAGGGUUCGCACCCCUAUAAACCAUACACGCAUAAUCCAGUCGACCGCCUCCGGGCUCCGAGACGUAGGGCUAUUACUUCCUCCGAGAAAGGCCUGAACUCGUAAACUUCGUGUGCUUACAACUUCUCCAUAGCUAAGAUCUUGCCUCUCCAUACUUACCCCCCUACAUUACUGUCAGACUUAGAACCACGACAGUUGGCGCCCACUGUGGGGCAGGUGUUUUAGCGAUUUGUUGGAGGAGUUGCGAUCUUUUCCGAUCCGAAUCAUCAUGGUUUCCGGCGGAGUUUUGGUGGAGGGUCGCGAGAUCCGUCUCGGCACGCUCACGUUCAUCGCUGAUGACCCCGCUUGGCUUCAGGAGGCUCCGCUCGACAUGGACGCACUCCUUAUCCGCGGGGCAACGCACUUUAGCGCGUGCGUCCGCGGCGUUCUCUUGAGGCAACCGUCGACCCCCUAUCGGUCGGCUCCUGUGUUGUCCUCCCUCCCUGUUUCCCGCCGGCGCAACCGCUCCGGUCGGUUGAGACUUCAGUGGUGGGUGAGACACGCUAUGGCACGCCAGUCGGCCACCCCUCAAGUCGCGACGAUCGAGCCCGAUGAAUCCCUCUACGGCAUGUUCGAUCUGUCGACUGGAUCCGCAGAGACCGCAUCCGAGUGCGACAGCAGCGAUCCGGCGGCGGAGGUUCUGAUGGUCGAUGGACCUCCCAGUCCUCCAGGUUUUCCCCGCACCGACGGAGGCGCGGGUGGUGGCGACCUGUCGCGUCCCCAUGAGGAAUAUCUCCCGAGCCUCUCACGUCGCUACAGAGAGAAGAACUUCAUCGCCGGAACAUGGAUGCACUGCACACUCCUAUCGUCGGAGAAACCCCCGAGGCUCGUGCCUUGGAGGACGUGCGCCUGGCAAACUUGGCCGAGCGCACUCGACUGGAGAACCUCCAGCGAGCACUCGACGAGCGUGCGCGACAACGGGUUCCCGAAUCCAGUCGACGUCAGCUCUUCCCGCCCCUGCAGGUAUAUCGAACUCCGGUUCAGAAUUUAGCAGCUGCAGCCCGAAUAGCAGAGUCGAUUUAGCCUUCCCAGUCGGAGGCUGGCAGAGGCUUGCUGCAGAUCAGAGCGUUACUCCGGGCAGCAGGAGACCAAAAUUCCGCUGUUACUCAGUCACGGAACAGGAUUCACAGCAGAUCCAUUGCUGCAGACACAGUCCAGUCGGCUCAUAGUCCAAGAUCGCCCCCGAGGCAUGAGGGACGUGGGGACCGGCAUAAUCAGUACGGGAACCGUGAGCAAUAUGAUCACCGAUUUGAUCGUGAUGAUCGACGUCGAGUGCCCACCCCUCCCCCGAGGAGCGGGUCGUAUGCGCCUCGACAACAGGAUGACAGGCGCCCUCGUAGUGUUGGGCGAAGGAUCCCAGUCGACUCCAGGGAGCCAGGUUUUGAUGCGAGAUCCAUUCUCGUUCAAGGUUUGGUCGACAGGAACAGAGCUCACCGAGAAGGUCACGACAGAGACGCACCUACAAGCAGCAGAGCACAUGUUUCGGGGCCAGAGUGCUUUAGUAGAGCCAUCAGGGCCGCUGUGAUUCCUCCCAACUUCAGGUUGGCGACUGGAGUCAGCAAGUUCACUGGUGAGUCCAAACCCGAUACUUGGCUUGAAGACUACCGAGUGGCCGUCCAGAUUGGCGGCGGCAGUGAUGAAGUGGCCAUGAAGCACCUGCCUUUAAUGUAGAGGGCUCGGCCAGAGCGUGGCUAAACCAGUUAGCACCCAGCAACAUUUACACUUGGGAAGAUCUCGCCCGAGUGUUUGUCACCACAUUUGAAGGAACAUGCAAGCGACCUGCAGGGCUGACGGAACUGCGGUCUUGCGUGCAGAAGCCGAAUGAAACUUUGAGGGAUUACAUCCAGAGAUGGAUCACGUUACAUCACACGGUAGAGAAUGUGCCUGACCACCAAGCAGUCUGUGCCUUCAAAGAAGGCAUCAAGUACAGAGAACUGGAUCUGAAAUUCGGUCGGAUCAGAUAUAUGUCUCUGAAUCGGAUGAUGGAGAUUGCCACCAAGUACGCUAAUGGUGAAGAUGAGGAUCGACUCAGGAGUGGCAAGCUCAAGUCAGUCGCUCAAGAAACCGGAGGAAAUUCCCAUCGGAAACAGAAGCGGAAAGUCGAGCCAGCUGCUCCUGGGGAAGCCUUGGCUAUAACCCAAGGAAAGUUUAAAGGGAAACCCAAAGGACCUUGGAACCCCAAGAAAGUUAAAGACCAGGACGGAAAUGAUGUGUUGGAUUUGCCAUGUCUUGUCCACACCAAGAAAGAUGAAGAGGGUAAUUUCAUUUACCCGAAACAUACCACUCGACAGUGUCAACUCUUGAUCCAGCAGUUCCAGGGCAAGCAGCCCAAAGAUAAGGAAAAGGAGUCGGACAAAGUUGGGGACAAGGAAGAUAGUGACGAUGGAUACCCCCAGGUCAAUGCCACCCUGAUGAUUUUUGCUGAUGUUGAAAGCAAAAGUCGACUGGAAGUUAUCAACUGAGAGGUGAAUAUGGUUGCUCCGGCAACACCCAGUUAUCUGAAGUGGUCUCAGACUGCCAUAACAUUCGGCCGGUCCGAUCACCCAAUGCACAUCGCCACCCCUGGGAGGCAAGCUUUGGUGGUCGACCCAGUUGUCGAAGGCACUCGACUGACCAAAGUCUUGAUGGAUGGUGGCAGUGGUUUGAACAUAUUAUAUGCUGAGAUGUUGAAAGGGAUGGGCAUUCCGAUGUCCAAACUCAGUACCAGCAACAUGAGUUUCCAUGGAGUCAUUCCUGGGAAGAAGGCUGAGUCACUCGGCCAGAAUGCUCUUGAUGUGGUUUUCGGUGAUUCCAAGAAUUACCGCAAAGAAAAGUUGACAUUUGAAGUUGUAGUCUUCCAGAGUGCCUAUCACGCUAUUUUGGGCAGGCCGGCUUAUGCACGCUUCAUGGCCCGACCAUGUUAUGUGUAUCUCAAACAGAAGAUGCCUGGCCCCAAAGGUGUGAUCACUAUUACGGGCAAUCGGAAGAAAGCGGAAGAAUGUUUUCAGAAAGGUUCAAAGAUCACUGAUGCUCAGAUGGCAGUGGUGGAGCUGCAGGAAUACCAGAAGACUGCAGACCCGAGUGAUUUAUUGCGAGCCAAGAAGCCUGCUACAGAAUCAGCUUUUCAGUCGUCUGGCGAAACGAAGACAACUCACAUCCAACUCAUAUCUCAACAACACUCGACUCCAAAUAGGAAGAAGCGCUCAUCCAGUUCCUCCGUGAGAACUGGGACAUUUUCGCAUGGAAGCCUUCUGACAUGCUGGGUGUUCCCAGGGAGCUGGCUGAGCACCGCCUAAGAGUCGACUCAAAAGUAAAACCUGUCAAGGAACAUCUCCGAUGGUCCGCCGUCCAGAAGAGAAAUGCUAUUGGCGAGGAGGUGGCUCGGCUCUUAGCAGCGGAGUUCAUCCGAGAAAUCUACCACUCCGAGUGGCUCGCCAACGUUGUCAUGGUCCCCAAGAAGGACAAGUCACUUCGCAUGUGCAUUGACUUUAAACAUAUCAAUCGGGCCUGCCCGAAAGAUCAUUUUCCUCUCCCCCGCAUCAAUCAGAUAGUCGACUCGACUGCGGGAUGUGAGCGACUGUCUUUUUUAGACGCCUAUUCCGGGUACCAUCAGAUCCGUCUGUAUGGACCUGACGAGAUCAAAACAGCUUUCAUCACUCCAUUCGGGUGCUUCUGUUAUGUUACCAUGUCGUUCGGCCUCAAGAAUGCUGGAGCCACAUUCAUGAGGAUGAUUCAGAAGUGUUUGCUCACUCAAAUCAGUCGAAAUGUGGAAGCAUACAUGGAUGACAUUGUGGUCAAGUCAUGGAAGGGUUCCGACCUGCUGGCUGACCUUGCUGAAACCUUCGCCAACCUCGGGAGGUAUGAUAUCAAGCUUAAUCCAUCAAAGUGCACAUUCGGAGUUCCUGGCGGAAAAUUACUCGGUUUUCUUGUUUCCGAACGGGGAAUUGACGCCAAUCCAAAAAAAGUCGGUACUAUACUCCGAAUGAAAAGUCAUGUGCGAGUGCACGAUGUCCAGAAGCUUACUGGUUGCUUGGCCGCUUUAAGUCGAUCCAUAUCUCGUCUCGGUGAAAAGGCAUUGCCUCUUUACCGAUUGAUGAAGAAGUCCGACAAGUUCGAGUGGACUCCCGAAGCUGAUGCAGCAUUUGCAGAGCUCAAAGCUCUGCUCUCCACCCAGCCGGUGCUUGCUGCCCCAAUCAGCAAGGAGCCUUUGCUGCUUACAUUGCAGCCACGGGACAAGUCGUCAGUACGAUACUUACGGUCGAGUGGGAAGAAGAAGGAAAAGCUUUCAAAGUUCAGCGCCCAGUAUAUUAUAUUUCUGAAGUUUUGACCCCGUCGAAGCAAAGAUAUCCUUAUUAUCAGAAGCUUGUAUAUGGUAUUUAUAUGACCACAAAGAAAGUUGCUCACUACUUCUCUGAUCAUUCCAUUACAGUCGUCAGCGACGCUCCAUUGUCAGAGAUCCUGCAUAACAGAGAUGCAACUGGUCGAGUGGCAAAAUGGGCGAUUGAACUCCUUCCUCUAGAUAUCAUGUUCGAGGCAAAGAAAGCUAUCAAGUCCCAGGCAAUAGCAGAUUUCGUCACCGAGUGGAUUGAACAGCAACUGCCGACUCAGGUUCACUCGGAGCAUUGGACCAUGUUCUUUGACGGUUCCAAAAUGCUGAAUGGUUCCGGUGCCAGGGUGGUGUUGGUCUCCCCCCGAGGAGAUAAGCUCAGAUAUGUUCUUCAAAUCCACUUUGAUUCCUCCAAUAACGAGGCGGAAUAUGAAGCACUUUUAUAUGGGUUGCGCAUGGCCAUUUCACUCAGCGUCCGUCGCCUCAUGGUCUAUGGCGACUCAGAUUUGGUGGUUAAUCAGGUGAUGAAGGAAUGGGACAUCAGAAGUCCAGCCAUGACUGGUUAUUGCAAUGCAGUGAGAAAGCUGGAGAAGAAAUUCGAGGGGUUAGAGCUUCAUCACAUACCCCGACUGAAAAAUCAAGCAGCUGAUGAUUUGGCAAAAAUAGGUUCCAAAAGAGAAGCCAUUCCCAACAAUGUGUUUUUGGAACACAUCCACACACCAUCAGUUCAGGAGGAUCCCUUCACUAAAGAGGCCCCGCAGCCAAAAAGUGCCACGGAUCCGACUGAAGUCGAAAUUCCAACUGUGGUCGACCUGAUCAUGGAAGUCUUGGUCAUCACUCCCGACUGGACAGUACCGUACAUCGCGUACAUCCUAAGGAAAGAACUCCCAGAGGACGAAGAAGAGGCUCGACAGAUCGUCCGUCGAUCCAAGGCCUUUACAGUCAUAAAGGGACAGUUGUUUAGAGAAAGCGCGACUGGAGUCAGUCAGAAGUGUAUAACACCAGAAGAAGGUCAGAUGAUCCUUGACGAUAUCCACUCGGGGACCUGUGGUCAUCAUGCGUCCUCUCGGACCAUUGUGGCUAAAGCAUACCGAGCGGGAUUUUACUGGCCAAGGGCUAAUGAAAUGGCAAAAGAGAUAGUCGACAAAUGUGAAGGAUGUCAGUAUUACUCCAAUAUGUCGCACAAGCCCGCGUCAGCUCUAAAAACCAUUCCACUCGUCUGGCCCUUCGCUGUUUGGGGGCUGGACAUGGUUGGACCACUAAAAACGGGCAGGAGCGGCUUCACUCAUGUGCUAGUAGCAGUCGACAAGUUCACCAAAUGGAUUGAAGCUAAGCCUAUCAAGAAUCUUGAUGCUUGCACUGCUAUCAGUUUCAUCAGAGAGUUGAUAUUCAGAUAUGGAGUUCCGCACAACAUCAUCACUGACAACGGGUCAAACUUCGAUUCCGACAAAUUCAGGGCCUUUUGCGCCUCUCAAGGCACACGAGUCAACUAUGCUUCGGUCGCUCACACUCAGUCGAAUGGACAGGCGGAAAGAGCAAACGACCUAAUUCUCAAAGGACUGAAACCUCGAUUGAUGCGCGAUUUGAAGCACACAGUAGGUGCAUGGGUUGACGAGCUUCCAUCAGUUCUUUGGGGAUUGAGGACGACCCCGAACCGAUCGACCGGAAGAACCCCAUUCUUUCUGGUCUACGGAGCCGAAGCAGUCUUGCCGAGUGACAUGCUUCACAACGCCCCUCGAGUCGAGCUCUACUCUGAAGAAGAAGCAGAACAAGCCCGGCAGGACGCAGUCGACCUCCUGGAAGAAGAAAGAGAAAUGGCCAUGAUCCGAUCAACCAUUAUUCAGCAAGACUUGCGUCGAUUCCAUGCCAGAAAUAUGAAGAGUCGAGCCUUCCAAGAAGAAGACUUAGUCCUCCGAGUGGAUCAGCAGAAACCACACAAACUCGCUCCUACUUGGGAAGGCCCCUUCAUAGUCACCAGAGUCCUCCACAAUGGAGCGUAUCACCUCUAUAAUGUCGAUCGCCAGAUUGAUGAGCCACGAGCCUGGAAUGCGGAGCUACUCCGCCCCUUUUAUACUUGAAUUCUCACUCGGAUGAGAUGUAAUAAGAAAAACUCCUGUAGUUUAUUUAUCAAAGACAAGAGCGUUAUAAUUUUCCCAGUGAUUGUUAUUGUUUUUGUUUGCGUAAGAAAUCCCCCAGUGGGUGGCUUAGCUGCGAAUCCGCUUCGCCUAAGUUUGUAAAAAUAAUUUCCUGCCGAGUGGUGAGCCAGCCUCCCACUCGAGGGCUUAGCUGCGAACCCGUUUCGCCUAAGUAUUUAAAAAUCCUACCGAGUGGAGAGCAACCCUCCCACUCGGGGGCUUAGCUGCAGUCCAGUACUCGCCUAAGUUCUCUCACUCGGAGACUUGACUGUAGUCCGGCACUCACCUAAGUUUGAAAAAAUCCUACCGAGUGGAGAGCAACCCUCCCACUCGGGGGCUUAGCUGCAGUCCAGUACUCACCUAAGUCCUCUCACUCGGAGACUUAGCUGCAGUCCGGCACUCGCCUAAGUUUGAAAAAAUCCUACCGAGUGGAGAGCAAUCCUCCCACUCGGGGGCUUAGCUGCAGUCCAGUACUCACCUAAGUCCUCCCACUCGAGGGCUUAGCUGCAGUUCAGUACUCACCUAAGUUUGAAAAAAUCCUANNNNNNNNNNNNNNNNNNNNNNNNNNNNNNNNNNNNNNNNNNNNNNNNNNNNNNNNNNNNNNNNNNNNNNNNNNNNNNNNNNNNNNNNNNNNNNNNNNNNNNNNNNNNNNNNNNNNNNNNNNNNNNNNNNNNNNNNNNNNNNNNNNNNNNNNNNNNNNNNNNNNNNNNNNNNNNNNNNNNNNNNNNNNNNNNNNNNNNNNNNNNNNNNNNNNNNNNNNNNNNNNNNNNNNNNNNNNNNNNNNNNNNNNNNNNNNNNNNNNNNNNNNNNNNNNNNNNNNNNNNNNNNNNNNNNNNNNNNNNNNNNNNNNNNNNNNNNNNNNNNNNNNNNNNNNNNNNNNNNNNNNNNNNNNNNNNNNNNNNNNNNNNNNNNNNNNNNNNNNNNNNNNNNNNNNNNNNNNNNNNNNNNNNNNNNNNNNNNNNNNNNNNNNNNNNNNNNNNNNNNNNNNNNACUCGCCUAAGUUUGAAAAAAAUCCUACCGAGUGGAGAGCGAUCCUCCCACUCAGGGGCUUAGCUGCAGUCCAGUACUCGCCUAAGUUUUCUCACUCGGAGACUUAGCUGCAGUCCGGCACUCGCCUAAGUUUGAAAAAAUCCUACCGAGUGGAGAGCAACCCUCCCACUUGGGGGCUUAGCUGCAGUCCAGUACUCGCCUAAGUUCUCUCACUCGGAGACUUGGCUGCAGUCCGACACUCGCCUAAGUUUAAAAAAAUCCUACCGAGUGGAGAGCAAACCUCCCACUCGGGGGCUUAGCUGAAGUCCAGUACUCACCUAAGUACAAAACACAUCUCAGUCCUCAAGGACGACGAGGUGCAGGACUACUGCCACCUUCUCCUGGGGAGCUUCGCCACAAAUAUAAUGUGCGCUCCAUCCCGCUCUGCAGUAACGAGGUGCGGGUCGACUGCCGCCUUCCCCUGGAGAGCUUCGCCACAAAUACAACGUGUGCUCUCCGCAAGGACGACGAGGUGCAGGACUACUACCACCUUCUCUUGAGGAGCUUCGCCGACCCGCAAGGGCAACGAGGCGCAAGUCGACUUGUUCCUUCUCCUUCGGAGCUGUGCUACAAAUACAAAAGUUGUCUCGAAUGAAGAACGAGUUCACUUGGCAGGGGAUUCAUGAAGAUAUUCAACGAUAAACCAAGUUCGGAUAAAUCCUAAAGGUUCCGGACCACAGAUCGAAGUGCUCGGGCAUGGAGCCCGAAAGAGUUUAACGGUUACAAAAACCACUCGGCAUUCCGAGGCAAAUUUAAGGCGAGGCAUAAAAGUUUGUUCACUCUGCGGGAGGAGGACUAGCAGGCUCAACGAACUCGUCUAAGUCGACGCCGUCGGCGAUCCGAGUGGCUGCAGCGAUGAAAGUCUCCAUAAAAGAUCGGAAGUCAUGCUUCUGGGUGUUGGCGACCUUGAUUGCUGCCAGCUUAUCUUGUCGCACCUCCUUGUAAUGGACGCGAACCAAAGACAGAGCCACAUCAACGCCACACCGGGCAGAAGACUUCUUCCACUCCUGCACUCGGUCAGGGAUUUCGUUAAGUCGAGUCAUCAGGGACUCAAGAUCAUUUUGGAGCAUGGCCUCUGGCCAAAGUGCCGGGUCGAUCCGUGACAUGGCGACCUUCAGUCGAGCCAAGUAGUCCACGACACCGUUGAUGCGGGAUUCCAGUCGGAGCAGAUUCAUGGCAGUUUGAUCUUUCACGGGAGAAUUGAUUGGAUCCAAACCUGGUUCGAUCCGCCCAGUCUCCUCCUCAAAGUCCUGGCAAAACUCUACAUUCACGAUCCAAGGAUAAGUCAAUUUUCAUACGCUGAGUCGACACAAAAAAAAUCAGUCGGAACAAAAUGUGCACCUUCAAGCUUGAUGAACAACUUCUUGGCAAGGCUCCUCAGAUAGCUCUCCAGAUCGUCCCUCCUGCGAGCGAUGCCUUCCAUCUUCUCGCAUAGGUUGAGGUUCUCCUUCUUCCAGCGCGAGAACUCCUUGUUGGCUUCGUUCAGAGCAGAUUUCAGCUUGGUAUUCUCUUCUUCCAACUGGCCGACCGAAGCCAGUUUCUGUUCAGCCAGAGCGGUCAUGUCAUCAGCCUCCUUUCGAGCAGCACCCAAAUCCUGAUCUUCUUCACCAGAGCUUCUCUCGGUUUUUCUACAAAGAAAUGAUGAUUGAUUCAGAAAGAGCAGAAGGGUACCCAAGCCUAAGACAGACCAGUCGACAAACUCGUCUUACCAGUGGCGCCGUCCUUGACCUUUUGCAGCUCUGUCUUGGCCAGCUCCAAGUCAAGGUUCAGUUGAAUCUGCUGUUUCUCCAAGUCAGCAAAGCGAGCUCCAAGAUCACAAGAUUUCUGAAAUCAAAGGGGAGAAGUUAUUUUACAGCGAAAAACGACAAAGACGAUAAGUACUAAGACUACGGUCAACUACCCACGGUCCACCAUAGUCUCGGGGACUACACCCAGUGGGUGCACUUUGCGUUCCCCCACCGGUUCUGAUCCCACUCGACCGGCCCGCCGGAGUCGAGUGCAGGGAGUAAAAAAAGUGGAGAGAAAGUAGAACUCAGACCACAGUCGACUGCCAGCAGUCGACCGCGGUCUCGGAGACUACACCCAGUGGGUGCACUUGGCGUGCCCCAAUCGGUUCUGAUCCCACUCGACCAGAUCAAGUGGAAGAGACAAACUACCAGUUCGGUUUACACUCAACAAAAUACAAAGACUACAGUCGACUGCCAGCAGUCCACCGUAGUCUCGGGGACUACACCUAGUGGGUGCACUCAGCGUGCCCCCACUAGUUCAAAAAUUCAAUCGAUGCACCCAGUGGGUGUACAUAUGCAAAGAUUUUCGCGAAGAGUCUUCAGAUAGCAUAUCCUAACAGAACAAGCGGCGACCAACUAACCUGAACGUUGCUCUGGAGAGCUGAGCUGGCAUCAUAGGCGUCCUGGCUGGCGUCCCGCACCGUCUUCAUCUUCUCCAUCAUAAUGCCCGCCUGGCGUAUGGCCUCCUUGGCAGCAUUCACUUCGUCCUCUGGGACAUGAUGGGUCGCAAAAACUGAAGGCGGGUCGACAGGGGCCUGAGCAGUCGACGAGGAAGGCAAGGCACUCGACAAUGGCACGGCGAAGGUAACAGAAUCCCGAUUGGCAUCACCAGCGUCCUGAACGACUGGCUCCGCCCUCGGCGUCGAUUGUGGCACCUCGCUUGCAGGAGCUUGCCUAUUUUUCCUCGUCAAAGGCCUCUCGGGCUCUUCAUCAUCAUCAUUAGGGAGGUCAAUAAUGUUAGGGGCUGUUCAAAGUUCAAUCGACAAAAUCGCAUCACCCAAUGGUACACACUGCAGUUGAAUCGACCAAGAUAAAGACAGAAUGGCAGAAAUCAUACCCAGAUUAGAAGUGACCGCAUCCUCCAUCACCUCAUCAUCGUCCCUGUAAGCUGAGGUCCCGGAAGUAGCAGCGCUGCCAGCUCCAAAGUUCGUCCAGUUAAAACAAGAAAAACAAACAGCACAGGGCGUCGAGUGAAGAUAAAAGGAAACACUCACGCAGAAGCGACGGGGAUGUCAAUCUUAAUCUUCGGCAACGCCUUCCGAAGCUUCGGCUCUGCGACUUUGGGGUGCUUUGACGCUUUUUCGGUCAGAGUUGGCGAAGAGGUCCGAGGACGCUUUGAAGACUGACCAGCUUGAGCAAUCGCCUUUUCACGGGCGCUCGGUCGUUCUUGGUCAAGUUUGGACCGCCUCUCCCUGCGAGGAGGCGACUCGACUUCUUCUUCGUCACUUGGAUCGUCGCUUUCUUCAUCCCCUCCACCGUCAGAAUCCCAUUCGCCACUGUCGCCGCCGCUCGCCUCUCCUUCCGGGUCCUGCUCCUGCUUUCCGUUGGGCAUUGAAUACAUUUCAAUAAUGGCCUGAAAGAAAGCAGGGAGAACAAAGUCAGUCGACUCAGUAUAGGCAGCUGCGCGAGUGAAUUCAGAUUACAAAUAAAAGCUCAGAAUCAGACCUUCUCUGGUACGUGAGACUGGUCGAAUGGAGGAACUCUCCUGGCUCCCCUGGGGUUGUCCUUGUUUCCGGUCAUGCCCGACAGCCACUUCUCCAGUGUGUCGUCAUCGACCUCCUCCGGGUGAAUCCGAGUGGAGUCUUCAAGACCCGAAUACAUCCACAUCGGAUGGUCUCGGGCUUGAAGAGGCUGGAUGCGCCGCUGAAGGAAGACCUCCAAGAGAUCCAUACCGGUGACCUCGUCACGGAUAAGCUGGACCACUCGCUCUACCAGCACCCUCACCCGCGCCUUCUCCUCCGGGAGCACCUUCAAAGGGGAGGGUUUCCUCGCUCGGUCCAUGGUGAAAGGAGGGAGGCCAGUCGACUGCCCUGGCGUCGACUGGUCAUUGCAGUAAAACCAGGUCGACUGCCAUCCGCGAACUGAGUCGGGAAGAAUCAUGGCCGGAAAGGAACUUUUCCCUCUCAUCUGAACACCAAGACCCCCACACAUCUGAAUCACUUGAGUCCUCUCGUCACUCGGAUUAGCCUUUUUCACCAUCUGGGAGCGACAAGUGAAAAUGUGCUUGAAGAGGCCCUAGUGAGGCCGACAACCCAGGAAAUUCUCACACAAAGAAACGAAAGCGGCGAGGUAAAUGAUUGUGUUGGGAGUGAAAUGGUGGAGUUGUGCCCCAAAGAAGUUCAGAAAUCCCCGAAAGAAAGGGUGAGGAGGCAAGGAAAAUUCACGGUCGACAUGGGUGGCAAGGAGAACACGCUCACCCUCCCGAGGUUGCGGCUCGGAUUCCUUCCCCGGAAGCCGCGCCGAUUCAUAGGGGAUCAGCCCUCCUUCGGCUAGGUCGUCGAGGUCUUCUUGGGUGAUCGUUGAGCGGAUCCAGUCGCCCUGGAUCCAGCCCUUCGGCAGGUCGGUUCACGAGGAGGAUCCGCCCCGACUGGUCGCCUUCCCCUUCGACCUCGCCGUCGCCUUCUUUGCCCGCUCUAGAGCCGCCGUUUUCUCCUUCCCCAUCGUCGCCGGCGAGACGCGUACGGAGCGGUGGCGCUGGGGCGAGAGCGAGCGCGGCGAGGGAGCGUUGAGAGGAGAAGAGAUAAUGGAGACGCACUGUUCGAGAGACCCCGGUCUGACGCCUUAUAUGAGGCCGCUUCCGAGUGGCUGACUGGUAGGCCCGGGCGGCCCUCUCAAAUCCCGUAACAAUCGCGCGCGUGAUACGUGGCGAAAAAGGUGGCACGAGGAUCGAGGCGGCUCCGCUCUAUCCCAUCCGAUUACUGCGGCCUCUCGCGUCCCAUGCGCUUCCCAAAAUUCAGAUCCCGCGAAAUCUGCGGGCAACAGAACAACUUGUCAGACCGAAGAUCUCCUCCGCACCGUCACUCGGAGCCUUUCAAGUAAAGAAACUCACUCAACAAAAAACUAAGAAUGGAUCAAAGCGACUGAAAAGGAAGUUGUUGUCAUCACUCAGGUUCAUCGAUCCGAAACCAGAUAUGCUCAUGGCAUGAAAAAUGAGUCGGGGAAAUUCUCAACUCCUUCCCCACUCAAACCUCGAUCCAUUCGGGGGCUAAUGAUGAAGCUAUGUACCUAGGGUAGGGUCAUGGACCUGUCCAAACUGCCCUACCCAAGGACAUCUCUAGAAGAAAUCACCUUUCAAUCGACUUGGAAGUGUUCCACUCGACAGACUCGGAGACACUCGACCAAGAACCGAUCACUCGACCAAGACCAAACCACUCGACGGCCAGGAGACCUAAAGGCACUCCGCACGCUAACGGUCGGUUAUUAAGUAGUUUUUAUGAUCAUCAUAGCACUUUAUUAAGGGCGUUACUAGUAACGCCCGACCUUAAUGUAUUUAAAACCCUGCAUAACUGAGGGCCGGAGGGAUCCGGCGAACUCUAUAUAAGCCACCCCCUCCUCAGCGUAAAGGGUUCGCACCCCUGUAAACCAUACACGCAUAAUCCAGUCGACCGCCUCCGGGCUCCGAGACGUAGGGCUAUUACUUCCUCCGAGAAGGGCCUGAACUCGUAAACCUCGUGUGCUUACAACUUCUCCAUAGCUAAGAUCUUGCCUCUCCAUACUACCCCCCUAUAUUACUCUCAGACUUAGAACCACGACAGUACUCACGCGAGUGAACUUCCCGUCGCAAAAAAACUGCACGCCGUGUUUUUUUUUAUAUUGCUUUCGCUCUAGUUUUUGAACCGUUUAUUGGAACGAGGCGUAUAAUAUACCGUUGGAAAGCUAUGGAUUAGGCGCAACUUCGCCAUGUUGACCACCUUUUGAGAUUCCACACAAUUUAAGAGCAGUUUUGAAAAUGGUGUCCCAUGAUGAGUGGCAGCGAGCGUUUUUCCGCGAUUUCUUCUAAACCGCUCAUCGAAAUGAAGCAAAUGAUACACCGUUGGAAAUAUAUCGCCGAGGCGCAUCUUUUAUAUAUCUAUUAUUUUCUCUAAUUCGUUACUGUUUAAGAGCAAUUUUGAAUUUAUUAAAUCGCGAAAUUCUGUUUUUGAUUUUUUUAGAAAUUUUCGGUACUGUUUUCGCUCCAGUUUUCUAAUCGUUUGUCGAAACGAGGCGUAUGAUACGCCAUUGGAAAGCUAUGAACAAGGCGCAACUUUCAUAUGUUGAAAUAUUUUUGAGAUUCCUUACGGUGUUUAAUUAAUUUUGAAAAUCGUGCGACUGACGUCGAGAGGCAGCGGCUGUUUUUUCAUGAAAUUUUUACGAACCGCUGGUCGGAAUAAUUCAAAUCAUACGCCGUUGGCAAGAUAUCGACGAGACGCAACUUUUUCAUGUAAAACACUCUUUCUAAUUCCUUACGGUUUAAGAGCAGUUUUGAUUUUACCGAAAAGCGGACACUCUGUUUUUCGCGAGACCAAAAUCGUCGUAUGUACUACAUCAGACAGAAGAACGCACUGCUUCAGACAAAAUACCGCAGUGUAUCAGAUGGGCAAGUGCACUGCAUGGUUUCUUUUUGUUUAGACGUAUUUUUUCUCAGACGAGGAAAGAAAAACGCACUGCUUCAGACGAAAUACCGCACUUCAUUAGAUGGGCAAGUGCACUACAUGGUUUCUUUGUUUAGACGUAUUUUUUCUUGGACGGGGAAAGAAGAACGCACUGCUUCGGACGAAAUACCGUACUUCACUGGAUAGACAAGUGCACUGCAUGUUUUUUUUGUGGAACGCAAAUUUUCUCAAACGAGGUGCAGUGCACUUCACGCCGAGUGUUGGUGAACCGCAAUACUACAAACAGUGAAUCUCAAGACUAGCAAAUUUUCCCAAACAAGGUGGAGUGCACUUCACGUCGGGCGUUGGUAAACCGCAAUACUAUGAAAAGUGAAUCUCAUGACAACCGUAAACGGACCGCGACACUACCCAAAGUGAACCACGUGAGUUUUUUUCAAAAUUUAAUAUUUUUUAUGUGUAGUCCCGGCGAAUGGACCGCAAUGACUAAUCAAGUGAACUACAUGUAAUGAGAAGUGAGCUUCUUCCGAGGUGUUUUCGUUUCGGAUCACCACGUGAACCACGAAGAAGUUUUAUUGUGAAAUUCAUGAGAGAAGAAAGUGAGCUUCAGAACAUACAUAUCCAUUCAUUAUUUUGCUACAGCCACACUCACAUCCUUAAUCCUUUUUUCACACAUAGUGAUCAACAAAGCUAUACACAGUGAACUCCAUCCUAUGAAAAAAUAGUGUGUGAGCCGGGCGGGGCACCUAGCCGAACUGGACCAGACCAUGUCCGGUGGCAAACCACGUUUUUUUUUCAACCCCAGGAUGCAAUCCCAACAUCGCCAGAAUGUACUGCACGUGCGCUCACUGCCGGAGUGACAAAGCUUAGUGAACUUCAAAGAUGUUUAUACCAAACAUUUAUGCAAUGCACUGCAACACACAUCUAGAGAAUUGCAAACAAUAUUAAAAAAGAAAGGCUCUAUAGUCCACGGACUCACACGCGAAUUACACCGAGCACAAAGUUAACUGCAAGGAUACUCUUCAAAAGCAAAAAAACAAAACUACUGGGGGAAAACAACACUUGGUCAUGGGACGGAGGCAACCUGUGGUCAGGGGAAGCAUCAAUG
rnacentral:lncRNA from 1 species